rnacentral:lncRNA from 1 species
UGUUUUUUUUGUUUUUUGGUUUGUAAUUUUAUUUGAGCACAAGUCUGUAUUAAUUGAUAAGACUCGGAGACAUUUCAUUUGGAUUGCUGUGCCAGACCUACAAAUAUGCCAAUCGGGCUGAAUGUGCAUUCAGCAAUAGUAGUAGUAUAGAUGGACCAUAAGUGGCACGCAUCGGAAAGGGCCAAGAUGCUGGCUAAAAAAAGGAUGCUGUUGUAGCCAAAAAAAAGUACAGCGGCCUGGCUUAUGUAUGUUAGUUGAUAUUAUUGAUCCAUAUACUCUAUAAGUGUUUAUAUGUCUGUUAGUUCUGUACAUUCUUGGUUGAUUGACUCGGUAUUUGAAUCUUGAUACAUCGCUUGUGUACAUAUCUAAAUGGGAGUACACAUUAUGUUGUGUGUGACAUUUGAGUUGGACAUGAAGUGUUCCAAAUAUUCGAAUUCACCUUAAAUUGGAUUCUAGUUUCUGAAUUUGAGUAUCGGCAUUUGUAAACCAUAUUCAUAUAUGACAGUGGAAUACAUCUUUGUCGUCCUUUGUAAAACACAUAGAAUGAUUUAUAAAGAUUCAUAUAGGAAUACAAAAUGGAUUCGAAUUUAUAAAGAUUCAUAUAGGAAUACAAAAUGGAUUCGAAUUUAUUUGCCAGGGUAAACGUGGAUGCUUAUUGUCCCAAAAUUCGAAAGAAGCAGCAAAAUGUCCACUCCCACGUGGGCUGCCCAAAGUCAAGUGUUUGGGAGAUGGAAAUUACUGUCUACCCAUUACACGGACAAUCCAUCGGCCCGAUUUCCACUGCUCUAAAUAGGGGUAGGUUAGUAACUUCAAUUAGACGUGACACGACCGCCUCUGAGCCCAUUCCAACACGGUGGGCGUCAAACAUGGGUGGCAAAACUCAUUUGAUUCAAGCUCGUCCGAAAGACCUCCGUUUCUCCCUCCAUUCCCCAUUCAUACACGGUGGGCGGCAAAACAAACUCGACUCAGCCGAAAUCGAUGUAGGCAAAUAUUUUCAAUAGGGGCAGGUUUGUAACUUCACUCAGACGUGACACAACCGCCCUACCAGUCAGCCCCGUUCAUACACCGUGGGCUCCCACCAUGGGCGCCAACCACCCUCUCCUCGCCCGAAAUCGCUCUGGGCAAAUAUUGGCGAGAUGCGAGAUUACCGUCCUAUCCCCAACCGACGAGACUUCCAAUUUUUAAACGAGGGCUAAGUUCGUAACUUUCCCAUAUUUCAGACAGGCGCGUCCCAAAAACAUGGUUCCCCGUACCUUGUUGGAAAUAUGCCCUAGAGGCAAUAAUAAAUGGUUAUUAUUAUAUUUCUUUGUUCAUGGUAAUUGUCUAUUGUUCAUGCUAUAAUUGUAUUGUCCGGAAAUCGUAAUACAUGUGUGAAUACAUAGACCACAAAGUGUCCCUAGUAAGCCUCUAGUUGACUAGCUCGUUGAUCAACAGAUAGUCAUGGUUUCCUGACUAUGGACAUUGGAUGUCAUUGAUAACAGGAUCACAUCAUUAGGAGAAUGAUGUGAUGGACAAGACCCAAUCCUAAGCAUAGCAUAAAAGAUCGUGUAGUUUCGUUUGCUAGAGCUUUUCCAAUGUCAAGUAUCUUUUCCUUAGACCAUGAGAUCGUGCAACUCCCGGAUACCGUAGGAGUGCUUUGGGUGUGCCAAACGUCACAACAUAACUGGGUGACUAUAAAGGUGCAUUACGGGUAUCUCCGAAAGUGUCUGUUGGGUUGGCACGGAUCGAGACUGGGAUUUGUCACUCCGUGUGACGGAGAGGUAUCUCUGGGCCCACUCGGUAAUGCAUCAUCAUAAUGAGCUCAAUGUGACUAAGGCGUUAGUCAUGGGAUCAUGCAUUGCGGUACGAGUAAAGAGACUUGCCGGUAACGAGAUUGAACAAGGUAUUGGGAUACCGACGAUCGAAUCUCGGGCAAGUAACAUACCGAUUGACAAAGGGAAUUGCAUACGGAUUGAUUGAAUCCUCGACACCGUGGUUCAUCCGAUGAGAUCAUCGUGGAACGUGUGGGAGCCAACAUGGGUAUCCAGAUCCCGCUGUUGGUUAUUGACCGGAGAGGCGUCUCGGUCAUGUCUGCAUGUCUCGCGAACCCGUAGGGUCUACACACUUAAGGUCCGGUGACGCUAGGGUUGUAGAGAUAUAUGUAUGCGGAAACCCGAAAGUUGUUCGGAGUCCCGGAUGAGAUCCCGGACGUCACGAGAGGUUCCGGAAUGGUCCGGAGGUGAAGAAUUAUAUAUAGGAAGUCCAGUUUCGGCCAUCGAGAAAGUUUCGGGGGUUACCGGUAUUGUACCGGGACCACCGGAAGGGUCCCGGGGGUCCACCGGGUGGGGCCACCUAUCCCGGAGGGCCCCGUGGGCUGAAAGUGGAAGGGAACCAGCCCCUAGUGGGCUGGGCGGCCCCCCAUGGGCCUCCCCCCAUGCGCCUAGGGUUGGGAACCCUAGGGGGGAGCUUCCCCCUUGCCUUGGGGGGCAAGGCAACCCCUUCCCCCCUUGCCCCCCCUUGGAGAUCCCAUCUCCCAGGGCCGGCGCACCCCCCCCAGGGGCCUAUAUAAAGGGGGGGAGGGAGGGCAGAAACCUACAGCCUUGGGCGCCUCCCUCCUCCCCUGCAACACCUCUCUCUCUCUCUCGCAGAAGCUCGGCGAAGCCCUGCCGGAGACCCGCUACAUCCACCACCACGCCGUCGUGCUGUUGGAUCUCCAUCAACCUCUCCUUCCCCCUUGCUGGAUCAAGAAGGAGGAGACGUCGCUGCACCGUACGUGUGUUGAACGCGGAGGUGUCGUCCGUUCGGCACUCGGUCAUCGGUGAUUUGGAUCACGGCGAGUACGACCCCGUCAUCCACGUUCAUUGGAACGCUUCCGCUCGCGAUCUACAAGGGUAUGUAGAUGCACUCCUUUCCCCUCGUUGCUAGUAGACUCCAUAGAUGCAUCUUGGUGAGCGUAGGAAAAUUUUAAAUUAUGCUACGAUUCCCAACAUACCUCUCCCUCCAUUUUCCCAUUCAUACACCGUCCGCGCUAGAACACCCCAUCCCCACACCAGCCUCCGUCCGCCACCCCAUCCAUCGCCGCCGUCCUCCACCACAUCCAUCGCCGCCGUCCUCCACCAUGCUAGAGCGCCUACCAAGACCGCGUCGUCCACUGCUAGAGAUGGACGUUUCUCAUCCACAGCGACGGACCAAUAGCCUUGCAUCGCGUCCUCUCGCUUCAUCGGCGCCGUCGUCCUCUUUGCCGGGGCUGCUCACACGACCUUCUCUUCCAUCGCAGAUCUGCUUCAACGCCACGGACAUCCAUCGCACCCCCGAUGCCUACACGGCGCCGCAAGAGAGGUGGUACUUCAUAUCUCCUCAACUUUUUGAUCUCAACCAGAAAAUAGAUCUUAACUUGGUUACUCUACUUUCUUUUCAGCUCUUGGAAUUUAGUUCUUAGUUCGAAGCAAACAAUGGAUGCUAAAUAUCAUUUCUCCGGUUUGCAGCUUCAAAUCUGCCAUGGCACAGCCAUAAUACGGUUUAAUUGAUCAUGCUUAGGGUUUAAUUGAUCAUGUUGGUUCUGUGGUGGUUUCUUUAAGAGAAAUCGAAGGGGAAACCCUCUUUUGCUAAAAAAAUAUGCUUAGAGUUUCCCCCUUUUAUGAUCACUAUACGAUCAGAAUACGUGCUUCGUGUCAUAAUAACACUGCUCGACCCGAUCAAGCUAAACAAGCUUAGUUGUUCAAAUACGAAUCUGAUAUUAUUAAAACAGAGUUGUUUAAUUGGUCAGCUAAAUGUUCCUAAAUUAGUUUCAAAAAUGCAUGUUCGCCGCUCGGGUGUGUAUCUCUAUAGGGUGCCCACGGUGGGCCGGCCCACCCUGGGAUUUUGGGUCGUCUCAGGCCCCGAUUCCCCUCUGUUCUACUGCGCGCUUCCGAUCUCUACUUGCCCCCAGCCGCCUGCCUCGCCGGCGACUUGUCGUCCCCGGACGGCAUGACUCUAGGAGGAGACGCCGGACUAACAGGAGGCCAGGAGCCGCUCGCCCAACAGCGUCACCGCUGCCCGGGCGCGCCGCCGUGCCUACCUUCCCAGUCCGUUUAGGGCUCAGGCAUGCAGCACCCACCAAGCCAACCCGAUUUAUCCUGAGAUAUGUCCUCAACACUCAGCAGCCACUCCUCAUCACCCAUUUUCUAAUUGAUUCAUUACUCACUAGGCAGGACUGUCAUUAGGGUUUGUUGUGUGCUCAGUGCUACCUACACUUAAUGGUUCAGAUGUAUUUCGGUAAUCUUUAGUACCUCUAAAGUUCACAGGGUUUUCAAAAUUCCGGCCCUCGGAACAGAAACUAGUCAUUUUGGAUUGUUGGUCGUAGUGACAUUGACCCAGAUUACUACUGCAAGCCAAGUUUGUUGACAAUUUUACUUGUCUUUCUUACUCAUUCGAUAUAAUAUCCAAUUAUUCACGUCGAUUAGUUGCAAACAAUAAGUGCUAGACAAACUUCUUCAUUCAGAUUUUGGACGGUCUCUUACUGCAGUUACAAUUCUGCAUACUUGUCCUAGUAAGCUCACAAGUAAAUGAUUGAUUCACUACAUCUAUGUUUGCCUUGUCAUAUUUGUUGUCAAUAUUCUUUUAGGGUGGACCACCCUGUUUCUAAAUACUGGAACCGUAGACAUGAGUGAAUAGUAUUUCUCUAUGUGAUCUCUUCCAUCAUGUGUGGGUAACGAACACUGCAUUGUAUAGAAAGAAAGUGUCAUUUCCAGCUUUUACAUAGGUUUCGAUCUUUUACAUGGAAUACAAUCUGCCUACUUGCUUUGUGUCGCACUACCAACGCUCCACCCUUGAAGCUAAACAUUACGCCACUCAUAAUUGCUUAGUUUAUUUGUUCAAAUACGAAUUUCAUAUGAUUCUAAUGUUCCUACUUCAGUUUUGAAAUGUGUGCCUGCCUGUUAUAGAGACAUAAGGGGUUUGUAUUUCUGUGUGUGGUCUGGUCAGCACGGUUGGGGAGGUGAACUUUGCAUAUGCAGGGGUUUAUUGGGAGACACUCUCCGAGUUGAAUCCGCAAUGCAUUCCAUAGAUAAUCUGACUACUUUUUAUGUUUUCAUGAAUCUCAGAUUCUGAACAGCAUCAUAAUGAUUAUGAGCUUGCGCGCAUGAAAAGAAUAAAGCAGAACAAUGCCAUGGCUGUCAAACUUGGCAUUAAGGGACUGAAAUCAAGUCUGGAUGCAAUGCAAUGCAAACGCUCUCCACCUACAGAUUCAUGCUCAGAAUAUGAUCCUAACAGUGAUUCUGAGCUAGAGGGAGACCUAAGUCAAUGUAGCUCCCUAGUGGAGGAGUCAGAGGAAGAUGCCCUAUCUUAUUCACCCAUCAAGGUACUUGCUCUAACUUUCCAAGGUUACAUUGCUCGCACAUAUCUUGCAACUGAUGCUUUGCAUUGCUUCUACUUUGUUGAACUGCCAUUAGCUUAGUUUCCACAUCGUGUAUGUGAAUACGCCCUGCCUAUCCAUUUUCAGUACAUAUUCCAUCUGUCAUCAUACCAUAUUUAUCCAUUCAAAUGCUGUUCUGGUGUAUCAGACGUUCAAAAGGAAGAGGGCGAUUGCUGAUCGUGGAGGAGCACAACCAAAGUAUUUGGAAAAGGUAGUGGCACCUGAUAAAUCAAAUAGCCCAUUAGGUGUAGUUGCAAUAUCACCUGACCCACAAAAUACCCCAACUCUAGCAGACUCUAGCCCUACUACACUGGUCAUUUCUGAUGCCCCAACUCAGCAGACCCCAACUGCAGCAAACAGUAUGAUUAUGCCAGUUGACAUAGCACCAGCUGUACGACGCAAAACCCCCAUUCCAGCAAAGAGUACACCAAAUCCAGUUGACAAAUCCCUUUUCGAACCAGAGAGAGCCCCAAUUGCAGCAAAUAGGACCCAUGUUCCAUUUCUUCCCAGUUUAGAAGACGAAGCUUAUGUUGUUGUCAGGAACUUUGUGCGCAUCUUUCCUUCAUGGAAAGAUUAUACCGCAGACACAGAACAAUUUCCAGUCUUCCUCCGCAACUUACGCGUAAGUAAUGUACUAAUGUUAUUCAUGGUCAUUACUGCAUAUGUUUCUGCUGACAGAAGACACACGAUUUCAUUCUUUCAAAUAGGCGAGGAGCAAACUGGAUUGUGAUGACGAGCAAGGGUUGGUUGCGCUUUUCAAGCACUCGUUGAUGAAGUAUCAUUCCUACCUGAGGCAAGCGCACUUCGAUGGCAAGCCUCUGAACGAAAUUUCUGUAAAGUCUCCGGUGCUACAUUUAUCCGACGGUGACUGGAAUAAUCUUGUUACACAUUGGUCUCGGCUGCAGCGUAAGGUACUGUCUAUGAUAUCACAUCACAAUUUGAACUACAUUUCUGCAUUUGCCUUAAUGUCUCACUUUUACGAAAACUGUUAGCAGAAGAACAUUCGUUCUCAAGGGACCACAGAAUCUCGCAACUAUACUGCACACUGCAUUGCUCUUGUGAGUACCUCUUGCCCUGUAUGACCAUACUUACUUUCAUAGCUGUUUGAUUAUGUAGCAUCACUGCACAUGUUAGCCUCGUAAUCGUCCAUUUGGUGGACAUUAUAAGAUCCGUAUGGACUCUUACAUAAAUUUAGAAUCAACCCAAUGCUUUUGAAGAGGUUUACCUCUGCAGUCCUCUUGUAAGGACUGAUUGUGCUCUAUCACUGUACUUACAUUAACAGCUACUCCCUCCGUCCCAUAAUAUAAGAACGUUUUGUACAGUACACCAGUGUUCAAAACACUCUUGUAUUAUGGGAAGAGGGAUUGGUUCAUUUUGUAGCAUUCUGCAUCUUAUCUCCCUCGCCCACCAUUUACUAAAAAAGAUCAGAUAUAUAUUUAAUCUUACCAACAAGUAGAAUACACAGACAAUGCCAGUGCAGAAGUGUAGCCCAUUGCUCUUGUCAGUACAUUUUGUCCUGUAACGCUUGUACUUCCAGGGAUUGGUAGUUGAUUAUGUAGCAUCAAUCUGCAUCUUAUCUUCAUUAUCCUCUAUCCCUUCCAGUAUUAUCAUAUCUAUCAUUACUCUCUACAAAAUGUAGAGUACAGGCAAUGCUUAUGAAGAAGAUUCUGUGCUGAAAUUCUUGAGUUAUCCUUCCCUUGACAUGGAGAAGGGCAUUAUAAAGCCGGUGUUAACUGUUAAUGUAAGUUAGUCCUUCUAAAGCCUUUAUCCUCAACUGUUGUUUAAUUUGCUCAUACUCCCUAUCGUUUACUGCUGUUUAGUUUGCUGUUUCUACCAAAAUGCAUGUUCGUAAGAAUCGUAAGUUCUAAGUUUUACUUGUAAAACCAAAUUCCUUAUUCAUACCAUGCACAUUACUUAAUACUCCCUAUAUGUAUGCUUGUUUUUGUGGAUCUAUAAUCCAGUGUGUGGUGGAGCAGCCCAUGUUUGCACCUUGUCAUCUCCUGUUUUUAUCUUACUGAUGUGGCUGAUGAUAUGAACAACAUGCCAUGCACAUUAUCCAAAAUAGAUACAAUGAUUUUCUUUGCCCUUCAUCUAUGCUUGUUAUCUUGACAUGGUAAUCCAGUAGUGUGGUGAAGCUCCCCGCAUUAUGAACAAUGCCAAAUUAUGCUAUUGAUAUUUUGAACUUACUCUUUAUUUUCUAAUUUGAAAUUGGAUAGAAUUGACAGAACAGUUAUCAUCUUUGUUUAUACACGUGCAAACCUGUCAUCUCUCUGCUUUGUUUCAGGGUGAUAUGCCUGAUGGCAUGCACAAUUCUGCUGAAGGCUGUGAGACAAACCCAACAUAUAUUGCGGCAAAGAAGGCAAAACAUCUUGAAGAUAGGGAGACAACCCCAAAGUCUUGUCUUGAUGCAGUGUUCAAGUUACUUGAGACUAAUAGUCAGACAAGCUCACCGAAUUUGUUGUCUGAAUCAGUUCGUCUUCUUCAGUCCCAAGUUCUAGCAGAAAGGCAUUCUGCAACUCAACUUCGACUUGAAGUCCUAUCUCUAAGAAAGAUUGUGGAGAACACCAAUGAGAACCUCAUCGCUAAACAGCUACACCUGGAAGCUAUGACCGACAUGCUAGGCCGGUCUCACAGCCUUGCUCAGCAGCUUGCGCAGCAAUUCCCCCGCAAGGCUAACCUUUCUUCAACUGUCUUGGAAGUGGUCUCGGUUCAGUAUUAUUUUGUUACGCUGCAAUGGUGCCCAGUUUUUGUAAUCUGCUUCUUCGUUGCGCUUUAUGAUCACUGGUGGCGAACUUCGAUGCCCAGUGGAUGUAAUAUACCUAAAAUCCUUUAUUGUAUAGUGUAGGUUUAUUCUUAGUUACUAUGCCGUAAUUUCUUUAUUGUAUAGAGUAGGUUUGUUCUUAAUUCCUAUUAGUUACUGCCAUCAUUCGCUAUCUGAAAAGAAAUCAGAUGUAGUCGACCGGACCGAAACAUUCGACUCUAGUGGGCCAGGUUUUUAGCGGGACACAAUUGGGCCGGCCUGUGUCUUUCUUGGGCCCGAAUGAUUGGGGCCUUCACACAUUGCGCGAGGCCAAAACUUACACCGGCCUAUAUUUUAGUUGGGCCUUUUGUCGACCCAGUGCUUAGUUUGGCCCAGGUAGCGUUGGGCCAUUAACAGGCUAAAUAUUGUACUGGCCUGUUACGGCCGAGAUGAAACCACGGGCCUUUAGCAGGCCAAAAUGCAUGUUGGGCCUCAAUUUUCACUAGUCGUCGAAGGGCCUUCAGCAGGCCGAAAUGUAGACCAGGCCGUUUUGGGCCCAGUUAGCUCACGGGCCGUUACCAGGCCGAAACAUAUCUCGGGCCUUAGUUGGCCCAUUGAUAUCAUGGGCCUUUAAGAGGCCGAAAGCUUAGCACAGGCAUCAACGGGCCGAAUUACGCGACAGGCCUUUAAUAGGCCCAAAGUCACGUUGGGCUUAACUGUUGCCACCUUUAGCACGGGCCGUUAGUGGGCCCGAUGUCCCGUCGGACCAUAUAUGGCCCAUGGGCAGCACGGGCCAUUCCUAGGCCGAAAGUCACACCGGGCUGAAAUGGGCCCAUGUCUACAUCAGGCCUCUAACAGGCCGAAAGUCACUAGGCUGUAGUUGGGCCCAAAUAUUCGGCGAACAAUUAACGGGCCAGAUCUGGCUUCGGGCCGCAAAUGGGCCCAAAUAUUGGGCGAACAAUUAACGGGACAGAUCUGGCUUCAUGCCGUAAAUGGGCCCAAAUAUUGGGCGAACAAUUAACGGGCUAGAUCUGGCUUCGGGUCGUAAAUGGGCCUUUAUUAAGUAGGCCGUUAUUGGGCUGGCCCACUAGUACCUGAUUAAGUUCUACGGGCCUUUGACUGGGCCGACCUUUUUAACCUAUAUGGGGCUCUGUUGGGCCCAGCCACGUGUCGACGUAUCAUAGGCAUGUCUCCUCCAAUGGACGGACGACAUCUGGCCCACUAACGAGCUGACAGGUGUUCCCUUCGGCCAAUCAGAAUUUUACACGUGGAAAUUUCCCAUUGGUCAGGGUUGUUAACGGGUUAUCGGAUCCAAAAUCCGAUCUGAGAGCUUAAUGGCGUUCCAUUACGGUGGAUGCCACGUGUCGGUCACCCUUGAUGAAAGCACUUCUGUGACGCGCGAUUUAUCAUCAUGGAAGUGGACACUUCCGUGAUGAUAAUUUUGGUAAUGUCAUGGAACACUUCUACGACAGCACAGGUAUGACUAUCUUGAUUCUGUCAUAAAAUCGUCAUGGAUGUACAUGCAUGACAAAAAACACGACCUACUGUGACAAACACGUAUCAUCACGGAAGUGUAUUUUUUUUGUAGUGAACGUAAUGGUGUGUCUGAACGUCGUAACUGUACUUUAUUAGAUAUGGUGCGAUCUAUGAAGUUUCUUACCGAUUUACCACUACCGUUUUGGGGUUAUGCAUUAGAGACAGUUGCAUUCACGUUAAAUAGGGCACCAUCUAAAUCUGUUGAGACGACACCGUAUGAACUAUGGUUUGGCAAGAAACCUAAGCUGUCGUUUCUUAAAGUUUGGGGUUGCGAUGCUUAUGUGAAAAAGCUUCAGCCUGGUAAGCUCGAACCCAGAUCGGAGAAGUGCGUCUUCAUAGGAUACCCAAAAGAAACUAUUGGGUACACCUUCUAUCACAGAUCCGAAGGCAAGACCUUUGUUGCUAAGAAUGGAUCCUUUCUAGAGAAGGAGUUUCUCUUGAAAGAAGUGAGUGGGAGGAAAGUAGAACUUGAUGAGGUAAUUGUACCUUCUCUCGAAUUGGAAAGUAGCUCAUCACAGAAAACCGUUCCCAUGAUGCCUACACCAACAAGAGAGGAAGCUAAUAAUAAUGAUCAUGCUUCAGAUCAAGUUACUACCGAACCUCGUAGGUCAACCAGAGCAUGUUCCGCAUGAGAGUGGUACGGUAAUCCUGUUCUGAAAGUCAUGUUACUAGACCAUGAUGAACCUACGAACUAUGAGGAAGCGAUGAUGAGCCUAGAUCCUGCAAAAUGGCUUGAGGCCAUGAAAUCUGAGAUAGGAUCCAUGUAUGAGAACAAAGUAUGGACUUUGGUUGACUUGCCCGAUGAUCGGCAAGCCAUAGAGAAUAAAUGGAUCUUCAAGAGGAAGACGGACGCUGAUAGUAGUGUUACUAUCUACAAAGCUAGACUUGUCGAAAAGGUUUUUGAGAAGUUCAAGGUGUUGACUAUGAUGAGAUUUUCUCACUCGUAGCGAUGCUUAAGUCUAUCUGAAUCAUGUUAGCAAUUGCCACAUUUUAUGAAAUCUGGCAAAUGGAUGUCAAAACUGCAUUCCUUAAUGGAUUUCUUAAAGAAGAGUUGUAUAUGAUGCAACCAGAAGGUUGGGUCAAUCCUAUAGGUGCUAACAAAGUGUGCAAACUCCAGUGAUCCAUCUAUGGACUGGUGCAAGCAUCUCGGAGUUGGAAUAUACACUUUGAUAAGGUGAUCAAAGCAUAUGGUUUUAUACAGACUUGUGGUGAAGCCUGUAUUUACAAGAAAGUGAGUGGGAGCACUACAGCCUUUCUGAAAAGUAUAUAUGUGAAUGACAUAUUGUUGAUCGUAAAUGAUGUAGAAUUUUCUGGAAAGCAUAAAGGAGUGUUUGAAAGGAGUUUUUCAAAGAAAGAACUCGGUGAAGCUGCUUACAUAUUGGGCAUCAAGAUCUAUAGAGAUAGAUUAAUGUUGGGGAACGUAGCAAUAAUUCAAAUUUUUCUACGCAUCACCAAGAACAAUCUAUGGAGUCUUCUAGCAACGAGAGGGAAAAGAGUGCAUCUACAUACCCUUGUAGAUCGCGAGCGGAAGCGUUCAAGUGAAUGGGGUUGAUGGAGUCGUACUCGUCGUGAUCCAAAUCACCGGUGACCGAGCGCCGAACGGACGGCACCUCCGCGUUCAACACACGUACGGUUGGGAAGACGUCUCCUCCUUCUUGAUCCAGCAAGGGGAGGGAGUGGUUGAUGGAGAUCCAGCAGCACGACGGCGUGGUGGUGGAAGCAGCGGGGAUCUCGGCAGGGCUUCGCCAAGCUCAGCGAGAGGGAGAGGUGUCACGGGAGGGAGAGGGAGGCGCCAGGGGCUUGGGGUGCUGCUCCCAUGCGCCUCCCCACUAUAUAUAGGGGUGGAGGGGGCUGAUUUCUUGCCCUCCAAGUCCAUUGGGGCGUUGGCAAAGGUGGGGGAAAGAAAUCCCAUCAUUUCCCUUCCCCACCGAUUGUUAUUCCCCUUUUUUAGGGAUCUUGAUCUUAUCCCUUCGGGAUAUGAUCUUAUUCCUUCUAAGGUGGGAUCUUGGUGCACCAUGACUAGGGGUGAGGGGCCUUGCCCCCACUACCCACGUUCAUGUGGGUCCCCCCAUGCAGGUGGGCCCCACUUCGGAACCUUCUAGAACCUUCCCGGUACAAUACCGAAAAAUCCCGAACAUUUUCCAGUGGCCAAAAUAGGACUUCCCAUAUAUAAAUCUUUACCUCCGGACCAUUCCGGAACUCCUCAUGACGUCCGGAAUCUCAUCCGGGACUCCGAACAACUUUCGAUUAACCACAUACUAAUAUCUCUACAACUCUAGCGUCACCGAACCUUAAGUGUGUAGACCCUACGGGUUCGGGAGACAAGUAGACAUGACUGAGACAUUUCUCCGGUCAAUAACCAACAGCGGGAUCUGGAUACCCAUGUUGGCUCCCACAUGCUCCACGAUGAUCUCAUCGGAUGAACCACGAUGUCGAGGAUUCAAUCAAUCCCGUAUACAAUUCCCUUUGUCAAUCGGUACAUUACUUGCCCGAGAUUCGAUCGUCGGUAUCCCAAUACCUUGUUCAAUCUCGUUACCGGCAAGUCACUUUACUCGUACCGUAAUUCAUGAUCCCAUGACCAAACACUUGGUCACAUUGAGCUCAUUAUGAUGAUGCAUUACCGAGUGGGCCCAGAGAUACCUCUCCGUCAUACGGAGUGACAAAUCCCAGUCUCGAUUCGUGCCAACCCAACAGACACUUUCGGAGAUACCCGUAGUGCACUUUUAUAGCCACCCAGUUACGUUGUGACGUUUGGCACACCCAAAGCACUCCUAUGGUAUCCGGGAGUUGCACAAUCUCAUGGUCUAAGGAAAUGAUACUUGACAUUUGGAAAACCUCUAGCAAACGAACUACACGAUCUUGUGCUAUGCUUAGGAUUGGGUCUUGUCCAUCACAUCAUUCUCCUAAUGAUGUGAUCCCGUUAUCAAUGACAUCCAAUGUCCAUAGUCAGGAAACCAUGACUAUCUGUUGAUCAACGAGCUAGUCAAAUAGAGGCUCACUAGGGACAUGUUGUGGUCUAUGUAUUCACACAUGUAUUACGGUUUCUAGUUAAUACAAUUAUAGCAUGAACAACAGACAAUUAUCAUGAGCAAGGAAAUACAAUAAUAACCAUUUUAUUAUUGCCUCUAGGGCAUAUUUCCAACAGUCUCCCACUUGCACUAGAGUCUAUAAUCUAGUUCACAUCACCAUGUGAUUAACACUCAAAGUUCACAUCGCCAUGUGACUAAUACCCAAGAGUUUACUAGAGUCAAUAAUCUAGUCCACAUCACCAUGUGAUUAACACUCAAUGAGUUCUAGGGUUUGAUCAUGUUAUGCUUUCGAGAGAGGUUUUAGUCAACGGGUCUGCAACAUUCAGAUCCGUGUGUGCUUUACAAAUCUCUAUGUCAUCUUGUAGAUGUAGCUACCACGCGCUACUUGGAGCUAUUCCAAAUAACUGCUCUACUAUACAAAUCCGGUUUACUACUCAGAGUCAUCCGGAUUAGUGUCAAAGUUCGCAUCGACGUAACCCUUUACGACGAGCUCUUUUACCACCUCCAUAAUCGAGAAAAUUCCUUAGUCCACUAGAUACUAAGGAUAAGUUCGACCGCUGUCAUGUGAUCCAUUCCUGGAUCACUCUUGUACCCCUUGACUAAUUCAUGGCAAGGCACACUUCAGGUGCGGUACACAGCAUAGCAUACUGUAGAGCCUACGUCUAAAGCAUAGGGGACGACCUUCGUCCUUGCUCUCUCUUCUGCCGUGGUCAGGUCUUGAGUCUCACUCAAUACUCACACCUUGUAACACAGCCAGGAACUCCUUAUUUGCUGAUCUAUUUUGAACUCCUUCAAAAUCCUGUCACGGUAUGCAUUCAUUUGAAAGUACUAUUAAGCGUUUUUAUCUAUCCUUAUAGAUCUUGAUGCUCAAUGUUCAAGUAGCUUAAUCCAGGUUUUCCAUUGAAAAACACUUUUCAAAUAACCCUGGAUGCUUUCCAGAAAUUCUGCAUCAUUUCCGAUCAACAAUAUGUCAACAACAUAUACUCAUCAGAAAUUCUAUAGUGCUCCCACUCACUUCUUUGGAAAUACAAGUUUCUCAUAAACUUUGUAAAAACCCAAAAUCUUUGAUCAUCUCAUCAAAACGUACAUUCCAACUCCGAGAUGCGUACUCCAAUCAUUAGAAGGAUUGCUGGAGCUUUGCAUACUUGUUAGCAUCUUUCAGGAUUGACAAAACCUUCUGGUUGUAUCACAUACAACCUUUCCUCAAGAAAAUCGUCGAGGAAACAAUGUUUUGACAUCCUAUCUGCAAGAUUUCAUAAAUAAUGCAGUAACUGCUAAAUAUAAUUCCAACAGACUCUUAGCAUCGGUACGAGUGAGAAAGUCUCAUCGCAGUCAACUCCUUGAACUUGCCGGAAAACAUCUUAACGACAAGUCGAGCUUUCUUAAUGGUGACACUUACCAUCAUUGUCUGUCUUCCUUUUAAAAUCCAUCUGCACCCAACAGCCUUACGACCAUCAAGUAGUUCUUCCAAAGUCUACACUUUGUUUUUAUACAUGGAUCCUCUCUCGGAUUUUAUGGCCUCGAGCCAUUCGUCGGAAUCCAGGCCCACCAUCGCUUCUCCACGGCUCAUAGGUUCAUCGUUGUCCAACAACAUGACUUCCAAGACAGGAUUACGUACCACUCUGACGUAGUACGCAUCCUUGUCGUCCUAUGAGGUUUGGUAGUGACUUGAUCUGAAGUUUCAUGAUCACCACCAUAAGCUUCCACUUCAAUUGGUGUAGGUGCCACAGGAACAACUUCCUGUGCCCUGCUACACAUUAGUUGAAGUGACGGUUCAAUGACCUCAUCAAGUCUCCACCAUCCUCCCACUCAAUUCUUUCGAGAGAAACUUCUCCUCGAGAAAGGACCCGUUUCUAGAAACAAUCACUUUUGCUUCCAGAUCUGAAAUAGGACGUAUACCCAACUGUUUUGGGUAUUCUAAGAAGAUGCAUUUAUCCGCUUUGGGUUCGAGCUUAUUAGCCUGAAACAUUUCCACAUAAGUGUCACAGCCCCAAACUUUUAAGAAACAACAGCUUAGGUUUCUCUAAACCAUAGUUCAUACGGUGUCGUCUCAACGGAAUUGCGUGGUGCCCUAUUUAAAGUGAAUGCGGUUGUCUCUAAUGCCUAACCCAUAAACGAUUGUGGUAAUUCGAUAAGAGACAUCAUGGUAUGCACCAUAUCCAAUAGGGUGCAGCUAUGAUGUUCGGACACACCAUCACACUAUGGUGUUCCAGGCGGUAUUAAUUGUGAAACACUUUCCACAAUGUCUUAAUUGUGUACCAAACUCGUAACUCAGAUAUUCAUCUCUAUGAUCAUAUCAUAGACAUUUUAUCCUCUUGUCACGACGAUCUUCAACUUCACUCUGAAAUCACUUGAACCUUUCAAUAAUUCAGACUUGUGUUUCAUCAAGUAAAUACACUCAGCAUCUACUCAAAUCAUCUGUGAAGUAAGAACAUAACGAUAUUCACUGCAUGCCUCAGCACUCAUUGGACUGCACACAUCAAAAUUUAUUACUUCCAACAAGUUGCUUUCUUGUUCCAUCUUACUGAAAACGAGGCCUUUCAGUCAUCUUGCCCAUGUGGUAUGAUUUGCAUGUCUCAAGUGAUUCAAAAUCAAGUGAGUCCAAACGAUCCAUCUGCAUGGAGUUUCUUCAUGCAUAUAUACCAAUAGACAUGGUUCGCAUGUCUCAAUCUUUUCAAAAACGAGUGAGUCCAAAGAUCCAUCUACAUGGAGCUUCUUCAUGCGUUCUAUACCAAUAUGACUCAAAUGGCAGUGCCACAAGUAUGUGGUACUAUCAUUACAAUUUUAUAUCUUUUGGCACGAACAUGUGUAUCACUACGAUCGAGAUUCAAUAAACCAUUUAUUUUAGGUGCAAGACCAUUGAAGGUAUUAUUCAAAUAAAAAGAGUAACCAUUAUUCUUCUUAAAUGAACAUCAUAAUCCAAUCAUGUCUAUGCUCAACGUAAACACCAAAUAACAAUUAUUUAGGUUUAACACCAAUCUCGAUGGUAGAGGGAGCAUGCGAUGCUUGAUCACAUCAACCUUGGAAACACUUCCAACACAUAUCGUCAUCUCACUUUUAGCUAGUCUCCGUUUAUUCCGCAGCUUUUAUUUCGAGUUACUAACACUUAGCAACUGAACCGGUAUCUAAUACCCUGGUGCUACUAGGAGUACUAGUAAAGUACACAUUAAUAUAAUGUAUAUCCAAUAUACUUCUGUCGACCUUACCAGCCUUCUCAUCUACGAAGUAUCUAGGGCAGUUCUGCUUCAGUGACCGUUCCCCUCAUCUCAGAAGCACUUAGUCUCGGGUUUGGGUUCAACCUUGGCUUUCUUCACUAGAGCUGCAACUGAUUUGCCGUUUCACGAAGUAUCCCUUGUUGCCCGUGCCCUUCUUGAAACUAGUGGUUUUACUAACCAUCAACAAUUGAAGCUCCUACUUGAUUUCUACUUUCGUGGUGUCAAACAUCGCGAAUAGCUCAAAGGUUCAUCAUAUCUAUCCCAGAUUUGUUAUAGUUCAUCACGAAGUUCUAGUAGCUUGAUGGCAGUGACUUUGGAGAACCAUCACUAUCUCAUCUGGAAGAUUAACUCCCACUCGAUUCAAGCAAUUGUAGUACUCAGACAAUCUGAGCACAUGCUCAACGAUUGAGCUUUUCUCCCUUAGUUUGCAGGCUUAAGAAACUUGUCAAAGGUCUCAUACCUCUUGACGUGGGCACUAGUCUGAAAUCCCAAUUUCAGUCUUUGGAACAUCUCAUAUGUUCUGCGACGUUUCAAAACCGUCUUUGGUGCCACAAUUUUAAACCGUUAGCAUCACACACUGAACUAUCACGUAGUCAUCAAAACGUGUAUGUCAGAUGUUUCGCAACAUCUACAGACGACGCUCGAGGUUCAGCACACCGAGCGGUGCAUUAAGGACAUAAGCCUUUUGGGUAGCAAUGAGGACAAUCCUCAGUUUACGGACCCAGUCCGCAUAAUUGCUACUAUCAACUUUCAACUAAAUUUUCUCUAGGAACAUAUCUUAGUAGAACUAAAGCGUAAGCUACGACAUAAUUUGCAAAGAGCUUUUGACUAUGUUCAUGAUAAUUAAGUUCAUCUAAUCAAAUUAUUUAAUGAACUCCCACUCAGAUAGACAUCCCUCUAGUCAUCUAAGUGAUACAUGAUCCGAGUCAACUAGGCCGUGUCCGAUCAUCACGUGAGACGGACUAGUCAUCAUCGGUGAACAUCUCCAUGUUGAUCGUAUCUACUAUACGACUCAUGUUCGACCUUUCGGUCUCUUGUGUUCCGAGGCCAUGUCUGUACAUGCUAGGCUCGUCAAGUCAACCUAAGUGUUUCGCAUGUGUAAAUCUGGCUUACACCCGUUGUAUGCGAACGUUAGAAUCUAUCACACCCGAUCAUCACGUGGUGCUUCGAAACAACGAACCUUCGCAACGGUGCACAGUUAGGGGGAACACAUCUCUUGAAAUUUUAGUGAGGGGUCAUCUUAUUUAUGCUACCGUCAUUCUAAACAAAUAAGAUGUAAACAUGACAAACAUCACAUGCAAAUCAUAAAGUGACAUGAUAUGGCCAAUAUCAUCUUGCGCCUUUGAUCUCCAUCUUCGAGGCGCGGCAUGAUCACCUUCGUCACCGGCAUGACACCAUGAUCUCCAUCAUCGUGUCUUCAUGAAGUUGUCUCGCCAACUAUUACUUCUACUACUAUGGCUAACGGUUAGCAAUAAAGUAAAGUAAUUACAUGGCGGUUUUCAUUGACACGCAGGUCAUACAAUAAAUUAAGACAACUCCUAUGGCUCCUGCCGGUUGUCAUACUCAUCGACAUACAAGUCGUGAUUCCUAUUACAACAACAUGAUCAAUCUCAUACAUCACAUAUAUAUAAUUCAUCACAUCCUUUUGGCCAUAUCACAUCACAUAGCAUACCCUGCAAAAACAAGUUAAACGUCCUCUAAUUGUUGUUGCAUGUUUUACGUGGCUGCUAUGGGUUUCUAGCAAGAACGUUUCUUACCUACGCAAAAGCCACAACGGUGAUAUGCCAAUUGCUAUUUACCCUUCAUAAGGACCCUCUUCAUCGAAUCCGAUCCGACUAAAGUGGGAGAGACAGACACCCGCUAGCCACCUUAUGCAUCAAGUGCAUGUCAGUCGGUGGAACCUGUCUCACGUAAGAGUACGUGUAAGGUCGGUCCAGGCCGCUUCAUCCCACAAUGUCGCCGAAUCAAGAUAAGACUAGUAACGGCAAGCAAAUUGAACAAAUCAUCGCCCACAACUACUUUGUGUUCUACUCGUGCAUAGAAUCUACGCAUAGACCUGGCUCAUGAUGCCACUGUUGGGGAACGUAGCAAUAAUUCAAAUUUUUCUACGCAUCACCAAGAAAAAUCUAUGGAGUCUUCUAGCAAUGAGAGGGAAAAGAGUGCAUCUAGAUACCCUUGUAGAUCGCGAGCGGAAGCGUUCAAGUGAACGGGGUUGAUGGAGUCGUACUCAUCGUGAUCCAAAUCACCGAUGACCGAGCGCCGAACGGACGGCACCUCCGCAUUCAACACGCGUACGGUUGGGAAGACGUCUCCUCCUUCUUGAUCCAGCAAGGGGAGGGAGAGGUUGAUGGAGAUCCAGCAGCACGACCGCGUGGUGGUGGAAGCAGCGGGGAUCUCGGCAGGGCUUCGCCAAGCUCAGCGAGAGGGAGAGGUGUCACGGGAGGGAGAGGGAGGCGCCAGGGGCUUGGGGUGCUGCUCCCAUGCACCUCCCCACUAUAUAUAGGGGUGGAGGGGGCUGGUUUCUUGCCCUCCAAGUCCAUUGGGGCAUUGGCAAAGGUGGGGGAAGGAAAUCCCAUCAUUUCCCUUCCCCACCGAUUGUUAUCCCCCCUUUUUAGGGAUCUUGAUCUUAUCCCUUCGGGAUAUGAUCUUAUUCCUUCUAAGGUGGGAUCUUGGUGCGCCUUGACCAGGGGUGUGGGGCCUUGCCCCCACCACCCACGUUCAUGUGGGUCCCCCAUGCAGGUGGGCCCCACUUCGGAACCUUCUAGAACCUUCCCGGUACAAUACCGAAAAAUCCCGAACAUUUUCCGUUGGCCAAAAUAGGACUUCCCAUAUAUAAAUCUUUACCUCCGGACCAUUCCAGAACUCCUCGUGGCGUCCGGGAUCUCAUCCGGGACUCCGAACAACUUUCGGUUAACCGUAUACUAAUAUCUCUACAACUCUAGCGUCACCGAACCUUAAGUGUGUAGACCCUACGGGUUCGGGAGACAUGUAGACAUGACCGAAACAUUUCUCCGGUCAAUAACCAACAGCGGGAUCUGGAUACCCAUGUUGGCUCCCACAUGCUCCACGAUGAUCUCAUCGGAUGAACCACGAUGUCGAGGAUUCAAUCAAUCCCGUAUACAAUUCCCUUUGUCAAUCAGUACGUUACUUGCCCGAGAUUCGAUCGUCGGUAUCCCAAUAUCUUGUUCAAUCUCGUUACCGGCAAGUCACUUUACUCGUACCGUAAUGCAUGAUCCCGUGACCAAACACUUGGUCACAUUGAGCUCAUUAUGAUGAUGCAUUACCGAGUGGGCCCAGAGAUACCUCUCCGCCAUACAGAGUGACAAAUCCCAGUCUCGAUUCGGGCCAACCCAACAGACACUUUCGGAGAUACCCGUAGUGCACCUUUAUAGCCACCCAGUUACGUUGUGACGUUUGGCACACCCAAAGCACUCCUAUGGUAUCCGGGAGUUGCACAAUCUCAUGGUCUAAGGAAAUGAUACUUGACAUUUGGAAAAGCUCUAGCAAACGAACUACACGAUCUUGUGCUAUGCUUAGGAUUGGGUCUUGUCCAUCACAUCAUUCUCCUAAUGAUGUGAUCCCGUUAUCAAUGACAUCCAAUGUCCAUAGUCAGGAAACCAUGACUAUCUGUUGAUCAACGAGCUAGUCAACUAGACGCUCACUAGUGACAUGUUGUGGUCUAUGUAUUCACACAUGUAUUACGGUUUCCAGUUAAUAAAAUUAUAGCAUGAACAACAGACAAUUAUCAUGAACAAGGAAAUACAAUAAUAACCAUUUUAUUAUUGCCUCUAGGGCAUAUUUCCAACAAUCAAGACGCUUGAUAAGACUUUCGAUGAGUACAUACCUUGAAAAGAUUUUGAAGAAGUUCGAAAUGGAUCAGUCAAAGAAGGAGUUCUUGCCUGAGUUGUAAGGUAUGAAGUUGAUUAAGACUCAAAACCCGACCAUGGCAGAAUAUAGAGAGAGAAUGAAAGUCAUUCCCUAUGCCUCAGCCAUAGGUUCUAUAAAGUAUGCCACACUGUAUACCAGACCUAUUGUGUACCUUGCCAUGAGUUUGGCAAAGGGGUACAAUAGUGGUCCAGGAGUAGAUCACUGGACAGCGGUCAAAAUUAUCCUUAGAAACUAAGGAGAUAUUUCUCGGUUAUGGAGGUGAUAAAGAGUUCGCCGUAAAGACUUACGUCGAUGCAAGCUUUGACACCGAUCUGGAUGACUCUGAGUCUCAAUCUGGAUACAUAUUGAAAGUGGGAGCAAUUAGCUAGAGUAGCUCUGUGCAGAGCAUUGUAGACAUAGAAAUUUGCAAAAUACAUAUGGAUCUGAAUGUGGCAGACCUGUUGACUAAACUUCUCUCACAAGCAAAACAUGAUCACACCUUAGUACUCUUUGGGUGUUAAUCACAUAGCGAUGUGAACUAAAUUAUUGACUCUAAUAAACCCUUUGGGUGUUGAUCACAUGGAGAUGUGAACUAUGGGUGUUAAUCACAUAAAGAUGUGAACUAUUAGUGUUAAAUCACAUGGCGAUGUGAACUAGAUUAUUUACUCUAGUGCAAGUGGGAGACUUAAGGAAAUAUGCCCUAGAGGCAAUAAUAAAGUUGUUAUUUUAUAUUUCCUUAUAUCAUGAUAGAUGUUUAUUAUUCAUGCUAGAAUUGUAUUAACCGGAAACUUGAUACAUGUGUGGAUACAUAGACAAAACACAGUGUCCCUAGUAAGCCUCUACUAGACUAGCUUGUUAAUCAAAGAUGGUUUAGUUUCCUAACCAUAGACAUGUGUUGUCAUUUGAUGAACGGCAUCACAUCAUUAGGAGAAUGAUGUGAUGGACAAGACCCAUCCAAGCUUAGCAUAAUGAUCGUUAAGUUUUAUUGCUAUUGCUUUCUUCAUGACUUAUCCAUAUUCCUUUGACUAUGAGAUUAUGCAACUCCCGGAUACUCGAGGAAUACCUUGUGUGCUAUCAAACAUCACAAUGUAACUGGGUGAUUAUAAAGAUCCUCCACAGGUAUCUCCGAAGGUAUUUGUUGGUUUGGCAUAGAUCGAGAUUAGGAUUUGUCACUCCGAGUAUCGGAGAGGUAUCUCUGGGCCCUCUCGGUAAUGCACAUCAUAAUAAUCCUUGCAAGCAAUGUAACUAAUGAGUUAGUUACGGCAUGAUGCAUUACGGAACUAGUAAAUAGACUUGCCGGUAACGAGAUUGAACUAGGUAUGAAGAUACCGACGACCGAAUCUCAGGCAAAUAACAUACCGAUGACAAAGGGAAUAACGUAUGUUGUCAUAACAGUUCGACCGAUAAAGAUCUUCGUAGAAUAUGUGGGAGCCAAUAUGAGCAUCCAGGUUCCUCUAUUGGUUAUUGACCAGAGAGGUGUCUUGGUCAUGUCUACAUAGUUCUUGAACCCGUAGGGUCCGCACGCUUAACGUUCGAUGACGAUUUGUAUUAUAUGAGUUAUGUGAUUUGGUGACCGAAUGUUGUUCGGAGUCCCGGAUGAGAUCACAUACAUGACAAGGAGUCUCGAAAUGGUCGAGAGGUAAAGAUUGAUAUAUUGGACGAUGGUAUUCGGACACCAGAAUAGUUUCGGAGUGGUUCGGAUAUUUUUCGGAGUACCGAGGGGUUACCGGACCCCCCCCCGGGAAGUUAAUGGUCUACAUGGGCCAUAGGGGGAGAGAGGGGAGCCCGCGAGGGGUGCCCCCCCAUGGGAGUCUGAAUUGGACAAGGGGGAGGGGGCACGGCCCCCUUUCCUUCUCCCUCUCCCUCUCCCUCUCCUUGCCUUUCCCCCUCCGAAAGAAAGGAAAGGGGGGACCGACUAGGACUAGGAGUCCUAGUCGGUUUCCCUCCCCAUGGCGCGCCUCCCAUGGCCGGCCUCCUCCCUCUCCUCCUUUAUAUACGGGGGCAGGGGCACCCCAUAACACAUCAAUUGUUCUCUUAGCCGUGUGCGGUGCCCCCUUCACAUUUUACUCCUCCGGUCAUAGCGUCGUAGUGCUUAGGCGAAGCCCUGCGCGGAUCACAUCACCAUCACCAUCACCACACCGUCGUGCUGAUGAAACUCUCCCUCGACACUUUGCUGGAUCAAGAGUUCAAGGGACGUCAUCGAGCUGAACGUGUGCUGAACUCGGAGGUGCCGUACGUUCGUACUUGAUCGGUUGGAUCGCGAAGACGUUCGACUACAUCAACCACAUUAAACUAAUGCUUCCGCUUUCGGUCUACGAGGGUACGUGGACACACUCUUCCCCUCUCGUUUCUAUGCAUCUCCUAGAUAGAUCUUGCGUGAUUGUAGGAAAUUUUUUGAAAUUGCAUGCUAUGUUCCCCAACAUUAAGUUGAUGGAGAAACGGAGUAAUGCAAUAAGGACGAUGACAUGAUGUAGACAAGAUCUAUUCAUGUAGGAAUAGACCCCAUCUUGUUAUCCUUAAUAGCAACGAUACGUCGUGUCAUUUCCCCUUCUGUCACUGGGAUUGAGCAUCGUAAGAUCGAAUCCAUCACAAAGCACCUCUUCCCAUGGCAAGAAAAGUCGAUCUAGUCGGCCUAACUAAACCAAAGAUUCGAAGAAGAAAUACGAGGCUAUAAGUAAUCAUGCAUAUAAGAGAUCAAAACUCAAAUAACUUUCAUGGAUAAAAUAGAUCUGAUCAUAAACUCAAAGUUCAUCAGAUCCCAACAAACACACCGCAAAAAAGAGUUACAUCAAAUAGAUCUCCAAUAGACCAUUGUAUUGAGAAUCAAAAGAGAGAGAGGAAGCCAUCUAGCUACUAACUACGGACUCGUAGGUCUACAAUGAACUACUCACGCAUCAUCGGAGAGGCGCCAAUGAGCAUGAUGAACCCCUCCGUGAUGGUGUCUAGAUUGGAUCUGUGGUUUCUGGAACUUGUGGCGGCUGGAAUUGUGUUUCGUCAACUUCCGUAGGGUUUUUAGAAUAUUGGGGUAUUUAUAGAGCAAAGAGGCGGUGCGGAAGGCCACCGAGGUGGGCACAACCCACCAGGGCACGCUUGGGACCCCAGGUGGGUUGUGCCCCCUCGAGGCACCCCUCUGGUACUUCUUUGGUCCAUCAUGUGUCUUCUGACCCAGAAAAAUUCUCCAAGAAGUUUCGCUGUGUUUGGACUCCGUUUGGUAUUAUUUUUUGUGAAGUAAAAAACAAGCAAAAAACAGCAACUGACACUGGGCACUAUGUCAAUAGGUUAGUCCCAAAAAAUGAUAUAAAGUUGCUAUAAAAUCAUUUUAAAACAUCCAAGAAUGAUAAUAUAACAGCAUGGAACAAUAAAAAAUUAUAGAUACGUUGGAGACGUAUUAGUGCUCAACAGGUAUCUCCGAGGGUGUCUGUUGAGUUGGCAUGGAUCAAUACUAGGAUUUGUUACUCCGUAUGACGGAGAGGUAUCUCAGGGUCCACUCAGUAAUACAACACCACAAUGAGCUUGCAAGCAAUGUGACUAAAGAGUUAGCCACGAGAUCUUGUAUUACGGAACGAGUAAAGAGACUUGCCGGUAACGAGAUUGAACUAGGUAUGGAGAUACCGACGAUCGAAUCUUGGGCAAGUAACAUACCAUGGACAAAGGGAACUGCAUACAGGAUUAGCUGAAUCCUUGGCAUCGAGGUUCGACCGAUGAAGAUCUUCGUAGAAUAUGUAGGAACCAAUAUGGACAUCCAGGUCCCGCUAUUGCUUAUUGACCGUAGAGGUGUCUCGGUCAUGUCUGCAUAGUUCUCGAACCCGCAGGGUCUACACACUUAAUGUUUGGUGACGAUCUAAAUAUAGUUGAGUAACAGUGUUGGUGACCGAAGGUUGUUCGGAGUCCCGGAUCAGAUCCUAGUGUAGCGACUCGACCUCAGACGGUCAAGUCUCUGUGCUUAAGUGUCAUCCCUGGAUCGGUAUGCUGACACACACAGUACUCGAGGAUUUAUAACAGAGGUAAAUCACAUGUAUAAAAUAACGUAAAUACUAUUACCUCAAACCAAAAUAGCAGAAGUAACAAGGUUGUGGAUUCCCAUCAACACCAACGGCAAAGUUGAGUGUAGAAAUCGUAACCCUUACGUACCACUUACUCGUCGUAAGAAAAUCCUGCAACAUGAGACGUUGCAGCCACAAAGGGUCAGUACAUUGAAUGUACUGGCAAAUUCACACCAUAGGAUAAUGAUGAAUAAUGGCUAUCACUACAUGCAUAUUUGGUUGGUGGAAAAGCUCUAUGGUUAUAAUGUUUUAGCGAAAAGCCUAUUUUUUCCUACUACAAAGGAAUAUAAUUUAUUUAACUACAAAGUUGGUUGAAAAUAUUGAGAAGGUAAACCCCCUCUCAAUCCCAAUUAAAAAGUUAACAACCCAACAAAUUAAUUAUAUAGAGUGAUGAGAUCAACAUGAUAAUCCAAGAACCAGAUACUCAAAAUGUCCAUAACCGGGGACACAGCUAAUCAUGAUUAGUUUGUACACUCUGCAGAGGUUUGUGCACUUUUCCCCACAAGACUUGAUCUCCUCCGUUAGAUUUCUCGCACUACAUGGUCUUUGAGAAACGGAUGACCGAGACACAGUCUUUCCGAAGAGGUCCCCUUAACCGAUAGAUAGGCCGGUACACCUACAAUCCCCUACAUCUGCUAGCCCAUCAUGGAAAGGUUAACCACAACUUACUCAACUAUGCAAGAGCCCAUAAUGGCAGGUGGCUGCACACGGAAGUUUCUAGCAUGAAUAAUCUUAUGAUCCCUUUGAGCCUGGGUGGCAGUCCAUAGGAGAAUCACACGGUACCCCGGAAUUUCCAAAAAUAUAGGCAAUCACUGGAUACCCCAGGUGCCUCAAUCCACCCAGAUGUGUAUUAAAGUUGCCACCUUAAGUUGAACCAUUACUUAACAAUACUCACAUCUGUCAUGAAUACGCUCAAACCCAAACCAUGUCUACGAGCAUAGCAUAGCAAUAUAAGCAACGUAAUAGUAACUCCCAAGGUUUGAAUGCAGGGAAAUAGGUUCCUACCUCAUCAACUACUUCCCAAUACCCACGUGUUAUCAAUCCUACUCAUGCAAUGCUUGAGGGUGAAACUAAAUGCAUAAAAACUGGGUAUGAAAGGGAUAUGAUCAAAGUGUGAACUUGCCUGUACUGUUGAUGAAGAUGAUUCGCACUCAAAAAUCUUGAUAGUUCUACUCGUCAUACUCCGGUCAAUCUAUCGUAAGCAAUCAAUAGUAACCACACAUAAGCAAUCACUCAAAAGAUCGAAAAGAACGAAAAAGACAAUUUGGAAAACAUCAAAACCAAGCAAAUAACCCUUGCAACAUAAAACAACUUCUAACAGUACCAAAAUUAUGUGUAUUUGGCCUUAUCAGAAAGUUUAGGUCAAGAGCUUCGAUUUGCAAAAAGAAUCAACUCAAACGGAGCUACGAAACUCAAGUUAUGAUCAAACGAAGUUCAAAUACAAAACUAUUUGAAUUCAAACUUUAAACUUUCAAAAACAGAUUUGAGUUGGAUUACUGGAUAGAGGGGAUCAUAACGGAGAAGUGGGCGUUGGUUUCGUUGGAUUUGGAUAAACGAGCGAGAAGUUGCGACCGUUUGAAGAUCAGGGACUAAAUGGUAAGAAAACUAAUUACGAAUAGGUCCCUGUGUAAUUAAACAGAAAAAAAAUCUAAAUAGCGAACGUUCGCUACCGAACACUACCAAACGAAAACCAUUCGCUACUAACCCUAACUAACGAAUUGUUCACUAAAUUAACCUAAGUAAUGAAUAAAACCGAGAAAACCAGAGAGAGCCUAGAAAAAAACCGGACCGGGGGCGGUUUAUACCGGUUCGGGGCGGAUCGGGUCUGGCGGCGGCGGACCGGUCAACUCCGGCGGUUUUCCCGCGGCGGCGGGCGUCGGCGAGGACGGCGCUUGGGCAGAGGCGAGGCGAGGCGAGGCGGCUCCAGCGCGGNNNNNNNNNNNNNNNNNNNNNNNNNNNNNNNNNNNNNNNNNNNNNNNNNNNNNNNNNNNNNNNNNNNNNNNNNNNNNNNNNNNNNNNNNNNNNNNNNNNNNNNNNNNNNNNNNNNNNNNNNNNNNNNNNNNNNNNNNNNNNNNNNNNNNNNNNNNNNNNNNNNNNNNNNNNNNNNNNNNNNNNNNNNNNNNNNNNNNNNNNNNNNNNNNNNNNNNNNNNNNNNNNNNNNNNNNNNNNNNNNNNNNNNNNNNNNNNNNNNNNNNNNNNNNNNNNNNNNNNNNNNNNNNNNNNNNNNNNNNNNNNNNNNNNNNNNNNNNNNNNNNNNNNNNNNNNNNNNNNNNNNNNNNNNNNNNNNNNNNNNNNNNNNNNNNNNNNNNAAGGAGAGGGGGGGUCCCGGGCGGCGGCUUUAUAGGGGGUCGGGGAAGGCGCGUGACGUGGAGGAGGGGUCAAGGAGAGGCGGCGGCGGGAGUCCGGGCGGCGUACGGCGGCGGCGACGCCGUGCGGGUGCGGGAGUUCGUCCCGAGCUCGGGGACGAGCGGGGCGUGGCGCUGGGUUGGGCCGGCUGGCUCGGCUUCGGCCCAGUUGGCCCGCGGGGGAAGAAGUCUUCUUAAAAAAACAUUUUCUUAGACAAACAAAAAUAAUAAAAACAAAACUAAAAAAUAUUAUAUAGGCAUCUAAUAUAUCAAAAUUUACAAAAAAUUAUAUUCUACAACCUGAACAUUUUUGUCUAGUCAAAUAAAAUCGAGAAAAAUUCAAAUAAUUCAAAGAGUGCUACAGCCCUACUAAAAUCCAAUAAAAAAUCAUUUUAAAAAUACCAAAAUGAUUUCAAAUUUAUUUAUCUCCAAUUUUCUGAUGUAGGGAAUCAUUUUACCCUAUUUUCCAAAUAUUUUAUUUUUGGAGAAAAAUAAUUUGAAUAAAAACCAAAUAACUCCAAUUAAAAACAAUUUCCAAAAGAACUUUAAAUUUGAUCCUUUUAAACUCCCAACUCAUAUUUCAUAUGUUUUGAAGAAGUCAUUUUAUCUUCUCUCAUGAAAAUCAUUGAGUUGCUUGAAGUUUCUGAAUUUGAAAUAUUUCCCAAUGAAAUUCAAAUAUUUUCAAAAACCCUUUUCAUUUAUUUAAAUGGAAGAAGUCAUGUCAUCUUCUCUCCAGGGUUUUUGGUGAAAAGAAUUUGAAUUCACGGGGAUCACGAAUGCAAGGUGAAAGUUUGGGAAAGUCCUUUUAUUCCCUCUCAUUUAACUUUCAAAAAGUUUCGAAUUUCACUCAAUUUCACACAAGCAAUCAAACAAUCAAUCAAAUCUAUCUAUUUAAUUAUAACAUUCCAAAAUUUAGAAUUUUGGGAUGUUACACCUAGACAUGACGAGGAACUCCGGAAUGGUACGGAAGGUGAAGAUUGAUAUAUAGGAUCAAUGGAAUCGGAUUCCGAAAGGGUUUCGGGAGGUACCGGGUUAUCGCCGAAAGACCGAAAAGGGUUUCGGAGGCCCCGGCAAGUGUUGGGGGGCAUCAUGGGCCAAAGGAAGGGGACACACCGGCUCACAAGGGGCUGGGCGCCCCCCUCACCUCAGCCCACUCGGCCAGGGGGUUGGUACACCCCCCUAGGGCACUCGCCCCCCUCCUUGCUUGGGAGGCAAGGCACCUAGGGGGCGCCACCCAAACCCUAGGGCGCCUCCCAUCUGGUGGCCGCAGGCCCCCUAGGGGAAACCCUAGGUCGGCCCACCCCUCCUCCCUUCCCCCUAUAUAUAGAGGUGGAGAGGGAAGGCAUCCACACCCAUCUAUGCCACGGCGCUACCCUUCCUCUCCCUCGUAGUUCUUCUUAUUCUCCGGUAGGCUUGGCGAAGCCCUGCUGAGAUUUCUCCACCGCCACCGUCAUCACGCUGUCGUGCUGCCGGAGAACUUGAGCUACUAUAUCACCAUCGUUUGUUGGAUCAAGGAGGUAAAGGCGUCAUUGUAGCGACCCAACCUCAAACGGUCAAGUCUCUGUGCUUCAGUGUCAUCCCUGGAUAAGUAAUGCUGACACACACAGUACUCGAAGGAUUUAUAACAGAGUAGCAAUCACACACUUAUUACAUCAAAUGUCUCAAAAGAGAACUUAUUACAAUAAAUAUGGCUUAAGGCCAUCUAACACAAUAACAGCGGAAGGCUUGGCAGAUAAAGUGAGUCCAUCAACUCCAACGGCAUAGCUGAGUGCAUGACAACGGCCUAGCGAACCUUACUCCUCGUCUAAAAAGUCUGCAACAUGAUACGUUGCAACCCGAAAAUGGGUCAGCACAUGGAAUAUGCUGGCAAUAUAACAUAGUAGAGCAAUGAACAGAUAAAUGCUAUCACUACAUGCAUAUAUGGCUGGUGGUGGCUCUAUGGUUAUAUGAUUAUGCGAAAAGCCAAUUUUUCCCUACAACAAAGGAAUAAGUUUUAUUUAACUAUCAUGGUAGUUGAAACAUCAUUGAGAAGGUACCUCCAACUCAAUCCCAGUUAAAAAGUAAUUAUCAACCCAACAAAUUUAAUUAGAGUGAUGGGAUACAAUAGGAUAAUCCAAGUACUAGAUACUUAAGAUGUCCAUAACCGGGGACACGGCUAACCAUGAUUAGUUUGUACACUCUGCAGAGGUUUGCGCACUUUUCCCCACAAGACUCGAUCUCCUCCGUUGGAUUUCUCACACUACAGGGUGUUUGAGAAACGGAUGACCGAGACACAGUCUUUCAGAAGCAUUAACUCUAUACUCUGGGUGGACAGUUACACCUACUUCCCUCUACAUCUGCUAGCCCACCACUGAAAGAGGUCACACAACAUACUCAACUGUGCCAGAGCCCAUAAUGGCUUGUGGCUACACACGGAAGUUUCUAGCAUGAAUAAUCUUAUGAUCCCUUUGAGCCUGGGUGGCGGACCGUAGGAGGAUCACAUGGUAUAUCCCUGGGAUCUCCUAGGACAACACUGGAUUCCCCAGAUGCCCAAACAAGCAGUCCACCCAGAUGUGUAAUAUUAAAGUUGCCACCUUAAGUUGAACCAUGAAUUAACAACUCUCAUCUCUCAUGGAUACUCUCAAACCCAAUCCACGUCUAUGAGCAUAGCAUAGCAAUAUAAGCAGACGUAGAAGUAACUCCCAAGGGUUUGAUAUUAAAACAGGUAAUAGGUUCUACCUCAACAUCUACUUCCCAAUACCCACAAGUUAAACUCAUCCUAAUCAUGCAAGGUUUGAGGAUUGUAACUAAUGCAUAAAAACUGGGUAUUAAAGGGUAUGAUCAAUGUGUUACUUGCCUUGCUGACGAUCCGCAAAACCUAGUGACUCAUAGUAGCACGCUUCGCACUCCGGGAAUUCUAUCGCAAACAAACAAUAAUACACAUAAGCAAUCAAGCAAAGAUGCAUGGGUAAAACUCAAAUAAAAAUAUAUAACCAGAAAGUUCAACUUAAGAACUCCGGUUUGCAAAUAGAAUCAAAUCAAACGGAGCAACGAAACUCAAACUGCGAAAGAAACAAGAUCUGAUUACUAAUCUGGACUAAAGACAAAUUUUACAGUACCAAAAUCUUCUUCAAGUUGGUUAAACAGAAAGAGGGCUUUGAGACGAAGAUCUAGGCGCUUGAAUCGCCUGAUUCCGAUAAAUGAGCGAAAAGAUAAACUAAAACGAAAAUCGGGUUAGAAAUCGUGAUCGGAAAUAAUCGCGAAAACUCUAGAAAAAGAAAAACUGACGAACAGGCUAACGAACGAAUGUUCGCUGUCUGUGACUAACGGGUCAACGGCGUUCGUUUAAACGAACAAACGGACGAAUGUCCGCAAAAUAAAUAAAUCAACGGAAAAACCGAUCUAAUGAAUUAAACAGGAAAUUAAAAAAUUGGAUCUAGAUCUAGGGUUUACCGAAAUAAACCGACGAAAGAAAAAAAAACGGCCCGGUAGGUCGGUUGACCUUUUUUAUAAAUAAAAAAUGUGUCGCAGAAAAACGAAGAAAAGAAAUACUAAACUGACUCCAAAAAUCCCGAAAUAAGUUUUCCUGUCCUCUAAAAAUAUGCCGGACAGAGUGAACAUUUAUUUGGGCCUAUAAUGCAAUUUUGAAAAACGCGUAUUUUUCCUAAUUCAAAUAAAAUUGCAAUAAAAUCCGAAUAAAAUAAAUAUUUGAUUUUAAUAUUUUCCUCCAACAUUUCAUUUAUUUUGGAGAAGUCAUAUUAUCUCCUCUCAUAUAUAUUUUUUGAUAUGAAAUAUUUUCGAAGGGAAAAUAAAUUAAAACCAAACUGAUCCUUGUUUCAAUAUUUGAUAAAAUUCAAAUAUGUAAAUCGUGAGAUCCCCAACUCUCUUCGAGGGUCCUUGAGUUGCUUAGAAUUUCGAGGAUCGCAAACGAAAAUGCAAUAAAAUAUGAUAUGCAUGAAUGACCUAUGUAUAACAUUCCAAAUUGAAAUUUUGGGAUGUUACAAACCUACCCCCCUUAAGAUGAAUCUCGCCCUCGAGAUUCAGGUUGGCUAGAAAAUAGGUGCGGGUGGUCUUUGCGCAGAUCAUCCUCUCGUUCCCAAGUGGCUUCAUCCUCAACAUGGUGGCUCCACUGUACCUUGCAAAACUUGAUAACCUUGUUGCGAGUAACCCGGCUGGCAAACUCUAGAACCUUGACAGGUUUCUCCUCAUAUGUCAAAUCACUGUCCAACUGUAUCGCUUCCAGGGGCACUGUAUCUCUCAGAGGAAUAUCGGCCAUCUCUGCAUGGCACUUCUUCAACUGGGAAAAGUGAAACACAUCAUGUACUCCUGACAGUCCUUCGGGUAACUCCAACUUGUAGGCAACCUCUCCCAUACGUUCCAAAACACGGUAUGGUCCUACAAAUCUCGGGGCUAAAUUUCCUUUAACUCCAAAACAUUUAACUCCUCGAAGAGGUGACACUCGUAGAUACGCCCUGUCUCCGAUUUCAUAGACUACCUCCUUGCGUUUCGAAUCUACAUAACUCUUCUGUCGGGACUGAGCUACCUUCAGUCUAUCUCGAAUCAGCUAAACCUUCUCUUCAGAUUCCUUAAUCAAAUUCGGUCCAAACAACUAGCGAUCUCCAACUUCAUCCCACAUCAAUGGUGUUCGGCAUCUUCUUCCAUACAGGGCUUCGAAAGGUGCCAUCUUCAAACUGGCCUGGUAGCUGUUGUUGUAUGAGAACUCCGCGUAGGGUAAAUUGUCAUCCCAACUAGACCCAUAGUCUAGCGCACAAGCUCUCAACAUGUCCUCCAGAAUCUGAUUAACUCUCUCUAUCUGUCCAUCUGUCUGUGGGUGAAAAGCUGUACUGAACUCCAGCCUGGUUCCCAAAGUCUGGUGCAGCUGGUGCCAAAACUUUGAGGUAAACUGUGUUCCUCUAUCUGAUACGAUGGUCCUCGGAACUCCGUGCAGACAUACGAUCCUGGUCAUGUAUAUCUUGGCCAACUUCGCACUUGUAUAGGUGAUUUUCAUUGGGGUAAAGUGGGCUACUUUGGUCAAGUUAUCCACUACUACCCAGAUAGAAUCAUACCCCGAUCGGGUCCUGGGUAAUCCGGUGAUAAAAUCCAUGCCAAGCUUAUCCCACUUCCAUUCGGGUAUCGGCAUAGGCUGCAGUAAUCCUGCUGGCUUCUGAUGUUCUGCCUUCACUCUCUGACAUACAUCACAUAGGGCUACAUAGUCGGCAAUAUCCUUCUUCAUACCAGUCCACCAGAAACGCUCCUUCAAAUCCAAAUACAUCUUAGUGUUUCCGGGGUGUAUCGAGUAGGGCGAGUCAUGAGCUUCUUGAAGUAUCAGCUUCCUGAUAUCUGCAUUAUUGGACACAUAAAUGCGGUCCUCAAACCACAAGGUGUCAUGCUCAUCCUCACGAAAACCUUUGGCUUUUCCUUCGCUCAUCUUCGCUUUUAUCUCAGCAAUCUCUUUGUCAUCUUUCUGAGCUUCUCGAAUCUUUCCCAACAAUGUGGACUGAACCUCCAUUGCUACAACAAAACCUCUAGGAACAAUCUCCAAACGUAGCUCCCUGAGAUCCUCGGCUAACUCUUUUGGCAUCCCUCCGCUUACGGGGUGUUAACAUAACUCUUAUGGCUCAAAGCGUCUGCUACGACAUUUGGCUUUCCUGGAUGAUAAUGCAGCUUCAUGUCAUAAUCCUUUAUGAGCUCCAACCAUCUCCUCUGCCUGAGGUUCAGCUCCUUCUGAGUAAAGGUGUACUUCAAACUCUUGUGAUCCGUAUAUACAUCGCAACGGUUUCCAAAGAGAAAAUGUCUCCAGGUCUUGAGCGCAUGCACCACAGCUGCUAACUCCAAAUCAUGCGUGGCAUAAUUCAACUCGUGCGGUUUCAGUUGUCGUGAGGCAUACGAAACAACUCUCCCGUCUUGCAUAAGUACUCCUCCAAGUCCUAAGCGAGAGGCGUCGCAAUACACUUGGAAAUCCUUGCGUAUAUCCGGCAGAAUCAGCACUUGGGCUAUAGUCAAACGUUUCUUCAACUCCUGGAAACUUGCUUCACAUUCAGCAGUCCAAUGGAACUUAGUGUCCUUCUUCAACAAUGCCGUCAUAGGCUUCGCGAUCUUAGAAAAAUUCUCAAUGAAUCUCCGAUAGUAUCCCGCGAGUCCAAGAAAACUGCGGAUCUCUCCAACUGAGGUGGGUGCCAACCACUCAGUGACUGACUGGACCUUGGUGGGAUCCACUGCUAUACCUUCUCUUGAUAUAACAUGUCCAAGAAAUCCAACUUCCUUCAACCAAAACUCACAUUUGCUGAACUUGGCAUAUAACUGAUGUUCCCUGAGCUUCUCGAGAACCAAAUGCAAAUGCUCCUUAUGUUCCUCUUCAUUCUUCGAGUAUACCAAGAUAUCAUCAAUGAAAACCACAACAAACUUAUCCAAGAACUCCAUGAACACCUUGUUCAUCAUACUCAUGAAAUAGGCAGGGGCGUUAGUCAGUCCAAAUGACAUAACCGUAUACUCAUAUAGCCCGUACCUUGUGGUGAAGGCUGUCUUAGGCAUAUCCUUCUCCCUAAUCUUCAGUUGGUGAUAUCCUGGUCGCAGAUCGAUCUUCGAAAACACCUUAGCUCCUUGCAACUGGUCAAACAAAUCAUUGAUCAUCGGAAGUGGGUACUUAUUCUUGAUUGUUAUUUCAUUCAACGCACAAUAAUCAACAACCAUCCUUAAGGAUCCAUCCUUCUUCUCAACCAAGAGCACUGGGGCUCCCCAUGGUGAUGAACUUCUUCGAAUGUAACCUUUCUCCAAUAACUCCUUAAUCUGCUUCUUAAUCUCCCCAGAUCGUUUGCGGGCAUCCGGUAUGGUCUCUUCGAUAUAGGCCCGGUGCCUGGCAACAGCUCUUAUCAAAAACUCGAUAUCUUGAUCUGGUCGCAUGCCUGGUAACUCCUCCGGAAAUACAUCCGGGUAAUCCUUCACUACCGGCACUUCCUCCUGAACAACUCCCGUGAGAGAAUUUACUUGGGUCCUCCUUGGCGCAUGCCUGGAUACAUACUUGAUCCUUUUUCCCUCUGGGGUGGUGAGUAAAAUUGACUUACUUGCGCAAUCGAUGUUUCCUCCUUACAUCGAUAGCCAAUCCAUUCCUAGUAUCACAUCCAAACCUUGUGACUCCAAAAUUAUCAGGUCUAAGGGGAAAACAUGGCUUCCAAUGGUCAAUGGCAUCUGAAAACAUCCUUGUCUUGCCAUAUAUUCUGCUCCUGGCGAACUUACUAACAUAGGUGUCCUAAGUACCUUAGUGGGCAACUUAUACUUAUCCACAAAUCCCCUUGAUAUGUAUGAAUGCGAUGCACCAGUAUCAAAAAGAACGAUUGCAGUAAAAGACUUAACCAAAAACUUACCAAUAACUGCAUCAGACUGCUCCUCAACCUCCUCCACGUUCACGUGGUUCACUUGUCCCCUGUUGAAAGGGUUGGGCUUCUUCCCAGCGCUUCCAUUGCCAAUUUCGUUCUUCAAUUCCGGACAAUCAUUGGCGUAGUGCCCAGUCUUCCCGCACUUGAAACAGGUAAUGUGACUUUGAUCCUUCUUGGCGGGUGUGGCUGGGUUAGAGCAGUUCUGAUUGCUGCCUGCUCCAUUCCCAUUUCCAUUCUUGGGGCCAUUAUGGUUAUGGGAACUUCCUCCAUUGUGGGUGUGGCCUCCAUGAUUAUGGAUAAGUCCUCCCGAGUUCGGGGUGAAACGAGGCUUCUGCUGAGCUCCAGAAUUGUACUUUCCUUGUCCAUACUUCCUCUUGCGGCUCUCAAUCUGCUAAUGCUUCCCUUCAAUCAUAAGAGCCUUGUCUACCAACUCCUGGUAGUUGUUAAAUGUUGCCACCAUUAACUGCAUGCUCAUCUCAUCAUUUAGCCCUUCCAUAAACUUCUCCUGCUUUGCGGCAUCUGUGGCCACAUCAUCAGGGGCAUAACGAGAUAGCUUACUAAACUCAUCUACAUACUGAGCCACAGUACGAUUUCCCUGGCGUAAGUUGCGAAACUCACGCUUCUUCAUGCUCAUGGCUCCAAUUGAGACAUGAGCUGUGCGGCAUGCUUGCUGAAACUGAUCCCAAGUGACAUUCGCUAUGGGAAAAGUGGCUGUGUAAUUCUCCCACCAUGAGGCUGCUAGUCCAUCCAAUUGAUAUGCGGCAAAACGCACUUUCUCUGCAUCCGUGCAACCUGCGCUGGUCAACUCCCUUCCAAUCCUGCGUAGCCAGUCAUCCGCAACUAUUGGCUCGAUGCUACUCGAAAACACCAGCGGUUGUAACCUCAGAAAAUGGGCUAAGUUGUCAACUGGAGGAGGGUUGUUGUUGUUGUUGUUGUUGUUGUUUUUGUUGUUGUUGUUGCCUUGGUUCUGGACUAAUAUCUGCAUCAAGGCAUUCUGCUGCUGGAUCAACUAGGUGAUCUCGGGUGGGAAGACAAAUCCGGUGUCAUGUCUCGGAGGCAUCUGAUGGGUUUAGAGGGAAUGGAGUAGAAUAGAAAUUAGGUCUAGUGAGAAAACACUACCCAUAUGCACAUGAUACAAACACAAUCAUAACACUCAAUCAAUCAAGCAAGGGCAUACAAUCGAUCUAACUAUUGUUACAGUGCUCGGACUAUACUAUUUACAUGGGGGAAAUACUACUGGUCAUAUGGUGGUCUACAAGAAAUUUUGAUCGGUGGAAGACUCCAUGAUGUCCGCUCCAGCUUCGUCUUCAUAAUCAUCAUCACUAUCAUCGGGGUCGGAAUCAGUGUCGUCGAUGAUGAUGUAGUCUUCGGAACGAAUCUCCUUGGGUUCAUCGUCUUCUCCUCCUGGCGCGGGAUCUCCCAUGAACACUCCGAUCUUCUUAAUCAGGUCGUCAUUCUUCUCCAAUAGUAUUGUGAUUUCCUCCUCAUAUCCAUCGCGUGUAGACUUGAGUUCCUCCUCUAGCUCGAUGAUCCUUGUCAUCGCCUUCUUUAAAUCUAUCAUGCUCGCGCACAUCUGGUUCUCCUGGCGUCGAAUGUGCUGGUUUAACUCCUGGAUGAAUGCUGCAAUGGACCUGUCCUUCCUGGUGCUGACUAUCUCCCAUUGCUCAUCUCGGCGCCCGCAUAUCUGGUAGAUAGUAUCCUUGAGAUCCUUGUGGCAAACUUCGCCAAUGCGUCCCAUGGCGAUGUGGGUUGCCAUGCUCUUUCCCAGACUCCAGGUUGGGGCAUCAAAGGAAAAAUCUAUGGGCACCGUGACUGGCGUGAAUGUCCUUCCUGGAACUUGAACUCGAAUUAUCCAGCGCUCCUCUUCUGGUAAUGUGGCGUUGUAGGUCCCGGUGAAGCUUGGUAUUCCAAUGUUCAGGUAUCUAGUGACUUCCUUCAAGUGUCGUCCAAAGGGGGUGUCUUCAUCCGGUUAUGCAAACUUGUUCCUCGAAUCCGCCAUCCUAAAGAGUAGAGAAUGGAGAGGAGUCAGAAAUGAGUAGAGAAGAGUAACCUAUGGCUUUCUUAGUGGUCGUGUCCUACAUUCAGCGUGUGCUCUGAUACCAUCUUGUAGCAACCCGACCUCAAACGGUCAAGUCUCUGUGCUUCAGUGUCAUCCCUGGAUCGGUAAUGCUGACACACACAGUACUCAAAGGAUUUAUAACAGAGUAGCAAUCACACACUUAUUACAUCGAAUGUCUCAAAAGAGAACUUAUUACAAUAAAUAUGGCUUAAGGCCAUCUAACACGAUAACAGCGGAAGGCUUGGCAGAUAAAGUGAGUCCAUCAACUCCAACGGCAUAGUUGGGUGCAUGACAACGGCCUAGCGAACCUUACUCCUCGUCUGAAAAGUCUGCAACAUGAUACGUUGCAGCCCGAAAACGGGUCAGCACAUGGAAUAUGCUGUUAAUAUAACACAGUAGAGCAAUGAACAGAUAAAUGCUAUCACUACAUGCAUAUAUUGCUGGUGGAGGCUCUAUGGUUAUAUGAUUUUGCGAAAAGCCAUUUUUCCCUACAACAAAAGAAUAAGUUUUAUUUAACUAUCAUGGUAGUUGAAACAUCAUUGAGAAGGUACCUCCAACUCAAUCCCAAUUAAAAAUUAAUUAUCAACCCAACAAAUUUAAUUAGAGUGAUGGGAUACAAUAGGAUAUUCCAAGUACUAGAUACUCAAGAUGUCCAUAACCGGGGACACGGCUAACCAUGAUUAGUUCGUACACUCUGCAGAGGUUUGCGCACUUUUCCCCACAAGACUCGAUCUCCUCCGUUGGAUUUCUUGCACUACGGGGUGUUUGAGAAACGGAUGACCAAGACACAGUCUUUCAGAAGCAUUAACUCUUUACUCUGGGUGGACAGUUACACAUACUUCCAUCUACAUCUGCUAGCCCACCACUGAAAGAGGUCACACAACAUACUCAACUAUGCCCGAGCCCAUAAUGGCUUGUGGCUACACACAGAAGUUUCUAGCAUGAAUAAUCGAUCCCUUUGAGCCUGGGUGACGGGCCGUAGGAGGAUCACACGGUAUAUCCCCGGGAUCUCCUAGGACAACGCUGGAUUCCCUAGGUUCCCAAACAAGCAAUCCACCCAGAUGUGUAUUAAAGUUGCCACCUUAAGUUGAACCGUUAAUUAACAACUCUCAUCUCUCAUGGAUACUCUCAAACCCAAUCCAUGUCUACGAGCAUAGCAUAGCAAUAUAAGCAUACAUAGAAGUAACUCCCAAGGGUUUGAUAUUAAAACAGGUAAUAGGUUCUACCUCAACAUCUACUUCCCAAUACCCACAAGUUAAACUCAUCCUAAUCAUGCAAGGUUUGAGGAUUGUAACUAAAGCAUAAAAACUGGGUAUUAAAGGGUAUGAUCAAUGUGUUACUUGCCUUGCUGACGAUCCGCAAAACCUAGUGACUCGUAGUAGCACGCUUCGCACCCCGGGAAUUCUAUCGCAAACAAACAAUAACACACAUAAGCAAUCAAGCAAAGAUGCAUGGGUAAAACUCAAAUAAGAAGAUAUAAUCAGAAAGUUCAACUUAAGAACUCCGGUUUGCAAAAAGAAUCAAAUCAAACGGAGCAACGAAACUCAAACUACGAAAGAAACAAGAUCCGAUUACUAAUCUGGACUAAAGACAAAUUUUACAGUACCAAAAUCUUGUUCAAGUUGGUUAAACAGAAAGAGGGCUUCGAGACUAAGAUCUAGGCGCUUGAAUAACCUGAUUCUGAUAAACGAGCGAAAAGAUAACCUAAAACAAAAAUCGGGUCAGAAAUCGGGAUUGGACAUAAUCACGAAAAACUCUAGAAUAAGAAAAACUGACGAACAGGAUUAUUGACUCUAGUGCAAGUGGGAGACUGAAGGAAAUAUGCCCUGGAGGCAAUAAUAAAGUUAGUAUUUAUUUCCUUAUAUCAUGAUAAAUGUUUAUUAUUCAUGCUAGAACUGUAUUAAUCGGAAACUUGAUACAUGUGUGAAUACAUAGACAAACAGAGUGUCACUAGUAUGCCUCUACAUGACUAGCUCGUUGAUCAAAGAUGGUUAUGUUUCCUGGCCAUAGACAUGAGUUGUCAUUUGAUUAACGGGAUCACAUCAUUAGGAGAAUGAUGUGAUUGACUUGACCCAUUCCGUUAGCUUAGCACUCGAUCGUUUAGUAUGUUGCUAUUGCUUUCUUCAUGACUUAUACAUGUUCCUAUGACUAUGAGAUUAUGCAACUCCCGUUUACCGGAGAUACACUUUGUGUGCUACCAAACGUCACAACGUAACUGGGUGAUUAUAAAGGUGCUCUACAGGUGUCUCCGAAGGUACUUGUUGGGUUGGCGUAUUUCGAGAUUAGGAUGUGUCACUCCGAUUGUCGGAGAGGUAUCUCUGGGCCCUCUCGGUACUGCACAUCACUUAAGCCUUGCAAGCAUUGCAACUAAUGAGUUUGUUGCAAGAUGAUGUAUUACGUAACGAGUAAAGAGACUUGCCGGUAACGAGAUUGAACUAGUAUUGAGAUACCGACGAUCGAAUCUCGGGCAAGUAACAUACCGAUGACAAAGGGAACAACGUAUGUUGUUAUGCGGUCUGACCGAUAAAGAUCUUCGUAGAAUAUGUGGGAGCCAAUAUGAGCAUCCAGGUUCCGCUAUUGGUUAUUGACCGGAGACGUGUCUCGGUCAUGUCUACAUAGUUCUCGAACCCGUAGGGUCCGCACGCUUAACUUUUCGAUGACAGUCAUAUUAUGAGUUUAUAGGUUUUGAUGUACCGAAGGUUGCUCGGAGUCCCGUAUGUGAUCAUGGACAUGACGAGGAGUCUCAAAAUGGUCGAGACAUAAAAAUUGAUAUAUUGGAAGCCUAUGUUUUGAUAUCGGAAGUGUUCCUGGUGAAAUCGGGAUUUUACCGGAGUACCGGGAGGUUACCGGAACCCCCCGGCAACAUAAUGGGCCUUAGUGGGCCUAGGUGGAAGAGAGGAGAGGCGGCUAGGGCUGGGCCGCGCGCCCCUCCCCCUAGUCCGAAUAGGACAAGGAGAAGGGGGCGGCGCCCCCCCCCCCCCUUCCUUCUUCUCCCUCUCCUCUUUCCCCCUUCCCAAGUCCUAAUCCAACUAGGAAAAAGGGGGAUGUCCUACUCCCUGUGGGAGUAGGACUCCUCCUGGCGCGCCCCAAGGCUGGCCGCACCUCCCCCCUUUGAUCCUUUAUAUACGGGGGCAGGGGGCACCCCAUAGACACAACAAUUGAUCUCUUGAUCUCUUAGCCGUGUGCGGUGCCCCCCUCCACCAUAAUCCACCUUGAUAAUAUCGUAGCGGUGCUUAGGCGAAGCCCUGCGUCGGUAGAACAUCAUCAUCAUCACCACGCCAUCGUGCUGACGGAACUCUCCCUCAAAGCUCGGCUGGAUCGGAGUUUGAGGGACGUCAUCGAGCUGAAUGUGUGCUGAACUCUGAGGUGCCGUACGUUCGAUACUUGGAUCGGUCGGAUCGUGAAGACGUACGACUACAUCAACCGCGUUGUCAUAACGCUUCUGCUUUCGGUCUACGAGGGUACGUGGACAACACUCUCCCCUCUCGUUGCUAUGCAUCAUCAUGAUCUUGCAUGUGCGUAGGAAAUUUUUGAAAUUACUACGUUCCCCAACAGUGGCAUCCGAGCCUGGUUUUAUGCGUAGAUGUCAUAUGCACGAGUAGAACACAAGUGAGUUGUGGGCGAUAUAAGUCAUACUGCUUACCAGCAUGUCAUACUUUGGUUCGGCGGUAUUGUUGGAUGAAGCGGCCCGGACCGACAUUACGCGUACGCUUACGCGAGACUUGUUCUUCCGACGUGCUUUGCACAGAGGUGGCUGGCGGGUGUCAGUUUCUCCAACUUUAGUUGAACCGAGUGUGGCUACGCCCGGUCCUUGCGAAGGUUAAAACAGCACCAACUUGACAAACUAUCGUUGUGGUCUUGAUGCAUAGGUAAGAACGGUUCUUGCUCAGCCCGUAGCAGCCACGUAAAACUUGCAACAAGAAAGUAGAGGACGUCUAACUUGUUUUUGCAGGGCAUAUUGUGAUGUGAUAUGGUCAAGGCAUGAUGCUAUAUUUUAUUGUAUGAGAUGAUCAUGGUUUGUAACCGAGUUAUCGGCAACUGGCAGGAGCCAUAUGGUUGUCGCUUUAUUGUAUGCAAUGCAAUCGCCAUGUAAUUGCUUUACUUUAUCACUAACCGGUAGCGAUAGUCGUAGAAGCAAUAGUUGGCGAGACGACAACGAUGCUGCGAUGGAGAUCAAGGUGUCGCGCCGGUGAUGAUGGGGAUCAUGACGGUGCUUCGGAGAUGGAGAUCACAAGCACAAGAUGAUGAUGGCCAUAUCAUAUCACUUAUAUUGAUUGCAUGUGAUGUUUAUCUUUUAUGCAUCUUAUCUUGCUUUGAUUGACGGUAGCAUUAUAAGAUGAUCUCUCACUGAAUUUCAAGAUAAAAGUGUUCUCCCUGAGUAUGCAUCGUUGCCAAAGUUCGUCGUGCCCAGACACCACGUGAUGAUCGGGUGUGAUAAGCUCUACGUCCAUCUACAAUGGGUGCAAGCCAGUUUUGCACACGCAGAAUACUCAGGUUAAACUUGACGAGCCUAGCAUAUGCAGAUAUGGCCUCGAAACACUGAGACCGAAAGGUCGAGCGUGAAUCAUAUAAUAGAUAUGAUCAACAUAGUGAUGUUCACCAUUGAAAACUACUCCAUUUCACGUGAUGAUCGGUUAUGGUUUAGUUGAUUUGGAUCACGUGAUCACUUAGAUGAUUAGAGGGAUGUCUAUCUAAGUGGGAGUUCUUAAGUAAUAUGAUUAAUUGAACUUUAAUUUAUCAUGAACUUAUUCUUGGUAGUAUUAGCAUAUCUAUGUUGUAGAUUAAUAGCUCGCGUUGUUGCUUCCCUAUGUUUUAUAUAUGUUCCUAGAGAAAACUAAGUUGAAAGAUGUUAGUAGCAAUGAUGCGGAUUGGAUCCGUGAUCUGAGGUUUAUCCACAUUGCUGCACAGAAGAAUUAUGACCUUGAUGCACCACUAGGUGACAGACCUAUUGCAGGAGCAGAUGCAGACGUUAUGAACGUUUGGCUAGCUCAAUAUGAUGACUACUUGAUAGUUCAGUGCACCAUGCUUAACGGCUUAGAAUCGGGACUUCAAAGACGUUUUGAACGUCAUGGACCAUAUGAGAUGUUCCAGGAGUUGAAGUUAAUAUUUCAAGCAAAUACCCGAGUUGAGAGAUAUAAAGUCUCCAACAAGUUCUAUAGCUAAAAGAUGGAGGAGAAUAGCUCAAGCAGUGAGCAUGUGCUCAGAUUGUCUGGGUACUACAAUCGCUUGAAUCAAGUGGGAGUUAAUCUUCCAGAUAAAAUAGUGAUUGACAGAAUUCUCUAGUCACCAUCACCAAGUUAGUAGAACUUCGUGAUGAACUAUAGUAUGCAAGGGAUGACGGAAGUAAUUCCCGAGCUCUUCGUGAUGCUGAAAUCGACGAAGGUAGAAAUCAAGAAAAACAUCAAGUGUUGAUGGUUGACGAGACCACUAGUUUCAAGAAAAACAGCAAAGGGAAGAAGGGGAACUUCAAGAAGAACGGCAAGCAAGUUGCUACUCAAGUGAAGAAGCCCAAGUAUGGUCCUAAGCCUGAGACUAAGUGCUUCUACUCCAAAGGGACUGGUCACUGGAAGCGGAACUGCCCCAAGUAUUUGGCGGAUAAGAAGGAUGGCAAAGUGAACAACGGUAUAUUUGAUAUACAUAUUAUUGAUGUGUAUUUUAUUAGUGUUCGUAGCAACCCCUCCGUAUUUGAUACCGGUUCAGUUACUAAGAGUAGUAAUUCGAAACAGGAGUUGCGGAAUGAACAGAGACUAGUUAAGGGUGAAGUGACGAUGUGUGUUGGAAGUGGUUCCAAGAUUGAUAUGAUCAUCAUCGCACGCUCCCUACACUUUCGGGAUUAGUGUUGAACCUAAAUAAGUGUUAUUUGGUGUUUGCGUUGAGCAUGAAUAUGAUUUGAUCAUGUUUAUUGCAAUACAGUUAUUCAUUUAAGUUAGAGAAUAAUUGUUGUUCUAUUUACAUGAAUAAAACCUUCUAUGGUCAUACACCCAAUGAAAAUGGUUUGUUGGAUCUCGAUCGUAGUGAUACACAUAUUCAUAAUAUUGAAGCCAAAAGAUGCAAAGUUAAUAAUGAUAGUGCAACUUAUUUGUGGCACUGCCGUUUAGGUCAUAUUAGUGUAAAUCGCAUGAAGAAACCCCAUGCUGAUGGGAUUUUGGAAUCGCUUGAUUAUGAAUCACUUGAUGCUUGCGAACCAUGCCUCUUGGGCAAGAUGACUAAAACGCCGUUCUCCGGAACAAUGGAGCAAGCAACAGAUUUGUUGGAAAUCAUACAUACUGAUGUAUGUGGUCCGAUGAAUAUUGAGGCUCGUAGCGGGUAUCAUUAUUUUCUGACCUUCACAGAUGAUUUGAGCAAAUAUGGGUAUAUCUACUUAAUGAAACAGAAGUCUGAAACAUUUGAAAAGUUCAUAUAAUUUCAGAGUGAAGUGGAAAAUCAUCGUAACAAGAAAAUAAAGUUUCUACGAUCUGAUCGUGGAGAAGAGUAUUUGAGUUACGAGUUUGGUCUUCAGUUAAAACAAUGUGAAAUAGUUUCACUCCUCAUGCCACCUGGAACACCACAGCGUAAUGGUGUGUCCGAACAUCGUAACCGUACUUUAUUAGAUAUGGUGCAAUCUAUGAUGUCUCUUACCGAUUUACCACUAUCGUUUUGGGGUUAUGCAUUAAAGACAGUUGCAUCCACGUUAAAAAGGGCACCGUCUAAGUCCGUUGAGACGACACAAUAUGAACUGUGGUUUGGCAAGAAACCAAAGUUGUCGUUUCUUAAAGUUUGUGGUUGUGAUGCUUAUGUGAAAAGCUUCAACCUGAUAAGCUCGAACCGAAAUCGGAGAAAUGUGUCUUCAUAGGAUACCCAAAGGAGACUGUUGGGUACACCUUCUAUCAAAGAUCCGAAGGCAAGACUUUUGUUGCUAAAUUCGAAAUCUUUCUGGAGAAGGAGUUUCUCUCGAAAGAAGUGAGUGGCUGGAAAGUAGAACUUGAUGAGGUAACUGUACCUGCUCCCUUACUGGAAAGUAGUUCAUCACAGAAAUAUGUUCCUGUGACUCCUACACCAAUUAGUGAGGAAGCUAAUGAUGAUGAUCAUGUAACUUCAAGAUCAAGUUACUACCGAACCUCGUAGGUCAACCAGAAUGAAAUCCGCACCAGAGUGGUACGGUAAUCCAGUUCUGGAGGUCAUGUUACUUGACCAUGACGAACCUAUGAAUUAUGAGGAAGCGAUGAUGAGCCCAGAUUCCGCAAAAUGGCUUGAGGCCAUGAAAUCUGAGAUGGGAUCCAUGUAUGAGAACAAAGUAUGGACUUUGAUUGACUUGCCCAAUGAUCGGCGAGCCAUUGAGAUUAAAUGGAUCUUCAAGAGGAAGACGGACGCUGAUAGUAGUGUUACUAUCUACAAAGCUAGAAUUGUCGCAAAAGGUUUUCGACAAGUUCAAGGUGUUGACUACGAUGAGAGUUUCUCACUCGUAUCUAUGCUUAAGUCUGUCCGAGUCAUGUUAGCAAUUGCCACAUUUUAUGAAAUCUGGCAAAUGGAUAAACAAAGCUGCAUUCGUUAAUGGAUUUAUUAAAGAAGAGUUGUAUAUGAUGCAACCAGAAGGUUUUGUCAAUCCUAAAAGUGCUAAAAAAAUAUGCAAGCUCCAGCGAUCCAUCUAUGGACUGGUGCAAGCAUCUCGGAGUUGGAAUAUACGCUUUGAUAAGUUGAUCAAAGCAUAUAGUUUUAUACAGAAUUGCGGUGAAGCCUGUAUUUACAAGAAAGUGAGUGGGAGCACUACAGCAUUUCUGAUAAGCAUAUAGUGACAUAUUGUUGAUUGGAAAUAAUGUAGAAUUAUUCUGCAAAGCAUAAAGGAGUGUUUGAAAGGAGUUUUUCAAACAAGGACCUCGGUGAAGCUCCUUACAUAUUGAGCAUCAAGAUCUAUAGAGAUAGAUCAAGACGCUUGAUAAGUUUUUUCAAUGAGUACAUACCUUGACAAGAUUUUGAAGUAGUUCAAAAUGGAACAGUCAAAGAAAGAGUUUCUUGCCUGUGUUACAAGGUGUGAAAUUGAGUAAGACUCAAAGCCCGACCACGGCGGAAGAUAGAAAGAGAAUGAAAGUCAUUCCCUAUGCCUCAACCAUAGGUUCUAUAAAGUAUGCCAUGCUGUGUACCAGAUCUAUUGCAUACCCUACCACUGAGUUUGGCAAGGGAGUACAAUAGUGAUCUAGGAGUAGAUCACUGGACAGCGGUCAAAAUUAUCCUUAGUGGAAUAAGGAUAUGUUUCUCGAUUAUUGAUGUGACAAAAGGUUGGUCGUAAAGGGUUACGUCGAUGAAAGUUUUGACACUAAUCUAGAUGACUCUAAGUCUCGGUCUAGAUACAUAUUGAAAGUGGGAGCAAUUAGCUAGAGUAGCUCCAUGCAGAGCAUUGUAGACAUAGAAAUUUGCAAAAUACAUACGGAUCUGAAUGUGGCAGACCCGUUGACUAAACUUCUCUCACAAGGAAAACAUGAUCACACCUUAGUACUCUUUGGGUGUGAAUCACAUAGCGAUGUGAACUAGAUUAUUGACUCUAGUAAACCCUUUGAGUGUUGUUCACAUAACGAUGUGAACUAUGGGUGUUAAUCACAUGGUGAUGUGAACUAUUGGUGUUAAAUCACAUGGCGAUGUGAACUAGAUUAUUGACUCUAGUGCAAGUGGGAGACUGAAGGAAAUAUGCCCUAGAGGCAAUAAUAAAGUUAUUAUUUAUUUCCUUAUAUCAUGAUAAAUGUUUAUUAUUCAUGCUAGAAUUGUAUUAACCGGAAACAUAAUAAAUGUGUGAAUACAUAGACAAACAUAGUGUCACUAGUAUGCCUCUACUUGACUAGCUCGUUGAUCAAAGAUGGUUAUGUUUCCUAGCCAUUGACAUGAGUUGUCAUUUCAUUAACGGGGUCACGUCAUUGGGAGAAUGAUGUGAUUGACUUGACCCAUUCCGUUAGCUUAGCACUCGAUCGUUUAGUAUUCUGCUAUUGCUUUCUUCAUGACUUAUACAUGUUCCUAUGACUAUGAGAUUAUGCAACUCCCGUUUACCGGAGGAACACUUUGUGUGCUACCAAACGUCACAACGUAACUGGGUGAUUAUAAAGGUGCUCUACAGGUGUCUCUGAAGGUACUUGUUGGGUUGGCGUAUUUCGAGAUUAGGAUUUGUCACUCCGAUUGUCGGAGAGGUAUCUCUGGGCCCUCUCGGUAAUGCACAUCACUUAAGCCUUGCAAGCAUUGCAACUAAUGAGUUUGUUGCGGGAUGAUGUAUUACGGAACGAGUAAAGAGACUUGCCGGUAACGAGAUUGAACUAGGUAUUGAGAUACCGACGAUCGAAUCUCGGGCAAGUAACAUACCGAUGACAAAGGGAACAACGUAUGUUGUUAUGCGGUUUGACCGAUAAAGAUCUUCGUAGAAUAUGUGGGAGCCAAUAUGAGCAUCCAGGUUCCGCUAUUGGUUAUUGAACGGAGACGUGUCUCGGCCAUGUCUACAUAGUUCUCGAACCCGUAGGGUCGGCACGCUUAACGUUUCGAUGACAGUUAUAUUAUGAGUUUAUAUGUUUUGAUGUACCGAAGGUUGUUCGCAGUCCCAGAUGUGAUCACAGACAUAACGAGGAGUCUCAAAAUGGUCGAGACGUAAAGAUUGAUAUAUUGGAAGCCUAUGUUUGGAUAUCGGAAGUGUUCCGGGUGAAAUCGGGAUUUUACCGGAGUACCGGGAGGUUACCGGAACCCCCCGGCAACAUAAUGGGCCUUAGUGGGCCUAGGUGGAAGAGAGGAGAGGCGGCUAGGGCUGGGCCGCGCGCCCCUCCCCCCUAGUCCGAAUAGGACAAGGAGAAGGGGGGGCGCCCCCCCUUCCUUCUUCUCCCUCUCCUCUUUCCCCCCUCCCAAGUCCUAAUCCAACUAGGAAAAGGGGGCGAGUCCUACUCCCGGUGGGAGUAGGACUCCUCCUGGCACGCCCCAAGGCUGGCCGCACCUCUCCCCCUUUGCUCCUUUAUAUAGGGGGGCAGGGGGGCACCCCACAGACACAACAAUUGAUCAUUGAUCUCUUAGCCGUGUGCGGUGCCCCCCUCCACCAUAUUACACCUUGAUAAUAUCAUAGCGGUGCUUAGGCGAAGCCCUGCAUCGGUAGAACAUCAUCAUCGUCACCACGCCGUCGUGCUGACGAAACUCUCCCUCAACACUCAGCUGGAUCGGAGUUCGAGGGACGUCAUCGAGUUGAACGUGUGCUGAAUUCGGAGGUGUCGUACGUUCGGUACUUGGAUCGGUCGGAUCGUGAAGACGUACGACUACAUCAACCGCGUUGUCAUAACGCUUCCGCUUUCGGUCUACGAGGGUACGUGGACAACACUCUCCCCUCUCGUUGCUAUGCAUCACCAUGAUCUUGCGUGUGCGUAGGAAUUUUUUCGAAAUUACUACGUUCACCAACACCUAUUCGAUCCCCAAUGUCACCUCUCUCUCGCUCGCCGCCCACACACCCUAAACCUAACCCGAUUGCGCCGCCGCCCCAGACCUGCGCGCCGCCGCAAAAUCCUACCCACGUAUUCUGUACCCAAAUGUGUAUUAUCCACAUAUCGAGCCUAUGAAGGCCCAGUGGCUGUGAUGCACACCCAUUACUCAAGAAGAAAAGUAGAACAACCUAUCAAUAUAUGAAAUAUUAAUGUGUGUGCGCUUUUCCCAAAGAUCUUCCCGUAAGUUUGCAUUUUAAUGUGCAUACGUGACCUCGUUUUCUACUGUCGAUUUUGACUCAACUUGAACAUCUCAAUGAUGAGCCCUUUUUGCACAUGACAUUUCUGAAUUCUCUCCUCACGGCAGCAGGUGAUUUUCUCAUGGAUGUUUGCACAGGAGCUUGUUUUUGCUUCCAUACUGGUUUUGUUCAGUUGGUCAAGUUGGUAUUGUUCCCUCUGCAGUGCGGAUAAAUACCCCUGGAGAUGCACAGAGUGGGCUAAGUCAUCCUAUGACCACAAUGAUGGGCUGCUACUGACGACGCGAGGUGAUCUUUUUAUAUGUUCAAUUCUUCAAUUGUCAUUUCAGAUCCUUGGACUAGUGGCUGGGAUUGUAUUAGUUAGUCAGAGAUACCUAUUUGUACCGAAGUUCAGCUACUAAGUUGAAUAUAGCCCUCUUGUUCUAACCAGGUUCAGUAGAAUUGGAUAUUUUCAAUCUGCUGAUCACUCUUGCUUUUUGCCAAAAAUCUAAAGUCAUUGGCCAAUGGCAUGUUAAUUUUGCAUCGGUCGUUAGUUCUGUGCACAUACAAUACUUGAUCGGGACUAAAACUGUAGUACUUGAGCAAGAAAGGCUGAUUACGGAUUCAUUAGCAUGUCAAUAAGUCAAUCUGGUCUUCCUCUAUGUACUUGUCAGGGCUCAUUGAUAGCAUGGUUCUGCUCACUGAAAUAGGAGAGGCGCUGAACAAGGCAGAGAAGGCACAAAUGGCCAAGUACACUUGACGGAAGAUUGAUGAAACUGGGAGCAGGUAAAAACUGAGACCACAAGCACUGAGGCUUGAGUAAUAAUUCCAGUAAGCUCAGAGUACUACUUCCACAACCGCGUAUGAUAAAUUUUAGAAGUACGAAUAAAGGCGUAGAAAUUAACACAAAUUGCUAGUUUAUGUCUUCAAUUAUUUCCGAACGGAUUGGAAGUGCAAGCCUUGAUGAAUUCACUGUCCACACAUGUUUUGCGAAGUUUUUGAAACGAAAUUGCAAUUGAAAUCCAGAUGCAGCUACGUGUAAAUAUAUUUGCUGCUAUUAGCACAUAUUUUUUCCCUAUACAAAGGUCUUCUACUAUUUCAAUACCCAUCAUAUGUGAAAAUUUGCGGUGAUAAAUGAAACAUAUCUACAAUCUGAUGUAAUUUGUUCCUGAUAGUGGAACAUGACAAUAUCAGUGGUGUAAUGUUCACUCUUGUUUGAUCUAAUUUCUGGAUUCCCUUUCCUUGUACUUCUAAGAAAAUAAUUAAGUUCUUGCAUUAGGUAUAGAACACAAAGAUAAUGCUAGUUGCAUCUUUUAUUGAGGAAGAAACUCAUGCCCUCCUUAAUUACAAUAGUAAUAGCACAUUAGAUAUGAUGUCUCGAUAUUUUGUAGAAGAUAUUCUUAUGAUUGCGUCUUGAGCUCGGUUCCAAUUUGCAGUAUGGAAUUUUGUAGCACUACUACAAUAGCUGAUCAUGUCCCAAGUUUUAAAUGUGCACGUGCUUUGAACUUUGUCUAGAUGAAUUGGGAGCAUGUAGUAAUUAAAUGGAUUAUAGAUGAACUGGGAGCACCUAGUAAAUAGUAGCCAUGAUUUCAUUUUAAGUUUUCAUACAUUUAUCCCAGCAAUUACUCAUAGUAGACAUCUGGUCUUUGAAAUGGCUUUGUUUUCAUCUGAUUGCUGGUACAUUUUUUUAGAAAGGAGGAAUCUGCCCGGCCUUAAACUGAGGCCCUUACAGGUUCACCAAAGUUCAAACAAGGUAAUAUAUGACUGCUCGUAUACGGCUGCUGGUACAUGCAUAUUUACUAGUGCAUAUCUGAUUGUUUGCCGAUUGAGGAACUUCAAAUGCAAAUCUCUAAAAUUACAAUAAGAACCAUAUUCUUGAUGCCUUAGAACAGAUCUGAGUGCUUAUCGUGAGUGCAUAAAUUUGCAAAGCCAUGUGAUAUGCUAUAUGUGCUAGCCUGACUUUGGUUGAUGUUAUUAUAAGGGUAUCUUGUGUAACCUGUUUGCAGCCCAUCUACUUUUAGAUAUCUGGAAUCAAGGGCCACUUAAAAAUUUGAAGAAAAAUUCUCAUUUUCUAAGAUUGCUCAAACAUAUGAGUUCUUUUGCAGGGACAAAUGGCAAAACGUAGCAAGGCCACAAGUUGAUGUAAGAUGUUCUGGUGAUUUCUUUGUUCAUAACGUGGUUGAGACAUUUUGUUCAUACGGAAGUUCAUGUUGGCUUGGUGAUCAGACUUGGGCUCUUCCAUAAUAUUUUGUAGUAGUCAAGUGAUUGAACAAUUGGUCAACUUGGCCAUCCCAUUUUGUAACAGACCACCACAGCUUGAAUGCCAACUUAUGUAUGUCCUUAAUCCAUUAUAGCUAACUUGAGUAAAGAAGACUAAUGAAUCUACUAUAUAUGUUGAAUGGUAUAUUGUCAAUUGAUCAAUGGUGUAUUAUGAUGAAUAGAAAAGUGUAAUUGUGAUGAAUAGAAGCGUGUAAUUGUUUGUAUAUCUGUUGGGUACGGAACAUGAAUUGAAUAUUAUGAAUUUAAUGAUGUUUUAAUAUAACGUGCAUUUGCAUUUGUGCUAAAAUAUGGACCCUCGCAGUAACUGUGUAGGUAGAAGUAUUAACGUUGCAUUAUCUGUUGGUGUAGCUGCUACCUCUUGAGCACUGCGUUGGUUUUCCCUUCAAGAGGAAAGGGUGAUGCAGUAAAGUAGCGUAAGUAUUUCCCUCAGUUUUUGAGAACCAAGGUAUAAAUCCAGUAGGAGGCCACGCACAAGUCCCUCGCACCUACACAAACAAAUAAAAAUCCUCGCAACCAACGCAAUAAAGGGGUUGUCAAUCCCUUUAUGGUCACUUAUGAAAGUGAGAUCUGAUAGAUAUGAUCAUCAUCGCACGCUCCCUAUACUUUCGGGAUUAGUGUUGAAACUAAAUAAGUGUUAUUUGGUGUUUGCGUUGAGCAUGAAUAUGAUUUGAUCAUGUUUGUUGCAAUACGGUUAUUCAUUUAAAUUAGAGAAUAAUUAUUGUUCUGUUUACAUGAAUAAAACCUUCUAUGGUCAUACACCCAAUAAAAUGGUUUGUUGGAUCUCGAUCGUAGUGAUACACAUAUUCAUAAUAAUGAAGCCAAAAGAUGCAAAGUUAAUAAUGAUAGUGCAACUUAUUUGUGGCACUGCCGUUUAGGUCAUAUUGGUGUAAAGCGCAUGAAGAAACUCCAUGCUGAUGGGAUUUUGGAAUCACUUGAUGCUUGCGAACCAUGCCUCUUGGGAAAGAUGACUAAAACGUCGUUCUCCGGAACAAUGGAGCAAGCAACAGAUUUGUUGGAAAUCAUACAUACUGAUGUAUGUGGUCCGAUGAAUAUUAAGGCUUGCGGCGGGUAUCAUUAUUUUCUGACAUUCACAGAUGGUUUGAGCAGAUAUGGGUAUAUCUACUUGAUGAAACACAAGUCUGAAACAUUUGAAAAGUUCAAAGAAUUUCAGAGAGAAGUGGAGAAUCAUCGUAACAAAAAUAAAAGUUUCUACGAUAUGAUCGCAGAGGUAAAAUAUUUGAGUUACGAGUUUGGCCUUCAGUUAAAACAAUGUGAAAUAAUUUCACUACUCACGCCACCUGGAACACCACAGUGUAAUGGUGUGUCCGAACGUCGUAGCCGUACUUUAUUAGAUAUGGUGCGAUCUAUGAUGUCUCUUACCGAUUUACCACUAUCGUUUUGGGGUUAUGCAUUAAAGACAACUGCAUCCAUGUUAAAAAAGGGCACCGUCUAAGUCCGUUGAGACGACACAAUAUGAACUGUGGUUUGGCAAGAAACCAAAGUUGUCGUUUCUUAAAGUUUGGGGUUGCGAUGCUUAUAAGAAAAAGUUUCAAACUGAUAAGCUCGAACCUAAAUCGGAGAAAUGUGUCUUCAUAGGAUACCCAAAGGAGACUGUUGGGUACACCUUCUAUCACAGAUCCGAAGGCAAGACAUUCGUUGCUAAGAAUGGAUCCUUUCUAUAGAAGGAGUUUCUCUCAAAAGAAGUGAGUGGGAGGAAAGUAGAACUUGAUGAGGUAACUGUACCUGCUCCCUUAUUGGAAAAUAGUUCAUCACAGAAACCGGUUCCUGUGACGCCUAUACCAAUUAGUGAGGAAGUUAAUGAUGAUGAUCAUGGAACUUCAGAUCAAGUUAUUACUGAACCUCGUAGGUCAACCAGAGUAAGAUCCGCACCAGAGUGGUACGGUAAUCCUGUUCUGAAGGUUAUGUUACUAGACCAUGACGAACCUACGAACUAUGAAGAAGCGAUGGUGAGCUCAGAUUCCGCAAAAUGGCUUGAGGCCAUGAAAUCUGAGAUGAGAUCCAUGUAUGAGAACAAAGUAUGGACUUUGAUUGACUUGCCCAAUGAUUGGCGAGCCAUUGAGACUAAAUGGAUCUUCAAGAGGAAGACGGACGCUGAUAGUAGUGUUACUAUCUACAAAGCUAGAAUUGUCGCAAAAGGUUUUCGACAAGUUUAAGGUGUUGACUACGAUCAGAGUUUAUCACUCGUAUCUAUGCUUAAGUCUGUCCGAAUCAUGUUAGCAAUUGCCGCAUUUUAUGAAAUCUGGCAAAUGGAUAAACAAAACUGCAUUCCUUAAUGGAUUUAUUAAAGAAGAGUUGUAUAUGAUGCAACCAGAAGGUUUUGUCAAUCCUAAAGGUGCUAACAAAAUAUGCAAGCUUCAGCGAUCCAUCUAUAGACUGGUGCAAGCAUCUCGGAGUUGGAAUAUACGCUUUGAUAAGUUGAUCAAAGGAUAUAGUUUUGUACAGACUUUGCGGUGAAGCCUGUAUUUACAAGAAAGUGAGUGGGAGCACUACAGCAUUUCUGAUAAUUAUAUGUGAAUGACAUAUUGUUGAUCGGAAAUAAUGUACAAUUAUUCUGCAAAGCAUAAAGGAGUGUUUGAAAGGAGUUUUUCAAAGAAAGACCUCGGUGAAGCUGCUUACAUAUUGAGCAUCAAGAUCUAUAGAGAUAGAUCAAGACGCUUGAUAAGUUUUUUCAAUGAGUACGUACCUUAACAAGAUUUUGAAGUGGUUCAAAAUGGAACAGUCAAAUAAAGAGUUUCUUGCCUGUGUUACAAGGUGUGAAAUUGAGUAAGACUCAAAGCCCGACCACGGCAGAAGAUAGAAAAAAAUGAAAGUCAUUCCCUAUGCCUCGGCCAUAGGUUCUAUAAAGUAUGCCAUGCUGUGUACCAGAUCUAUUGUAUACCCUACACUGAUUUUGGCAAGGGAGUACAAUAGUGAUCUAGGAGUAGAUCACUGGACAGCGGUCAAAAUUAUCCUUAGUGCAAUAAGGAUAUGUUUCUCGAUUAUGGAAGUGACAAAAGGUUCGUCGUAAAGGGUUACAUCGAUGCAAGUUUUGACACUAAACUAGAUGACUCUAAGUCUCGGUCUAGAUACAUAUUGAAAGUGGGAGCAAUUAGCUAGAGUAGCUCCGUGCAGAGCAUUGUAGACAUAGAAAUUUACAAAAUACUUACGGAUCUGAAUGUGACAGAUGUUGGAGAUAUGCCCUAGAGGCAAUAAUAAAUGGUUAUUAUUAUAUUUCUUUGUUCAUGAUAAUAGUCUAUUGUUCAUGCUAUAAUUGUAUUGUCCGGAAAUCGUAAUACAUGUGUGAAUACAUAGACCACAACGUGUCCCUAGUAAGCCUCUAGUUGACUAGCUCGUUGAUCAACAGAUAGUCAUGGUUUCCUGACUAUGGACAUUGGAUGUCAUUGAUAACAGGAUCACAUCGUUAGGAGAAUGAUGUGAUGGACAAGACCCAAUCCUAAGCAUAGCAUAAAAGAUCGUGUAGUUUCGUUUGCUAGAGCUUUUCCAAUGUCAAGUAUCUUUUCCUUAGACCAUGAGAUCGUGCAACUCCCGGAUACCGUAGGAGUGCUUUGGGUGUGCCAAACGUCACAACGUAACUGGGUGACUAUAAAGGUGCACUACGGGUAUCUCCGAGUUUGGUGCACACUUAAGGAAAUGUGGAAUAGUUUCACAACUCACGCCGCCUGGAACACCUCAGAGAAAUGGUGUGUCCGAACGUCAUAAUCGCACUCUAUUGGAUAUGGUGCGAUCUAUGAUGUCUCUUACCGAUUUACCGCUCUCAUUUUGGGGUUAUGCUUUAGAGACUGCCGCAUUCACUUUAAAUAGGGCACCGUCUAAAUCCGUUGAGACGACACCGUAUGAAUUAUGGUUUGGGAAGAAACCUAAGCUGUCGUUUCUAAAAGUUUGGGGAUGCGAUGCUUAUGUCAAGAAACUUCAACCUGAAAAGCUCAAACCCAAGUCGGAAAAAUGCGUCUUCAUAGGAUACCCUAAGGAAACUAUUGGGUAUACCUUCUACCUCAGAUCCGAGGGCAAGAUCUUCGUUGCCAAGAACGGGUCCUUUCUGGAGAAGGAGUUUCUCUCGAAAGAAUUGAGUGGGAGGAAAGUGGAACUUGAUGAGGUGAUAGUCACCCCUUCCGAACCGGAAAGUAGCGCAGCGCGGGAAAAUGUUCCUGUGGUGCCUACACCGACUGGGGAGGAAGUUAAUGAUGAUGAUCAUGAAGCUUCGGAUCAAGUUACUGAACUUCGUAGGUCCACAAGGACACGUUCCGCACCAGAGUGGUACGGCAACCCUGUCCUGGAAAUCAUGUUGUUAGACAACGGUGAACCUUCGAACUAUGAAGAAGCGAUGGCGGGCCCGGAUUCCGACAAAUGGCUAGAAGCCAUGAAAUCCGAGAUAGGAUCCAUGUAUGAAAACGAAGUAUGGACUUUGACUGACUUGCCCGAUGAGCGGCGAGCCAUAGAAAACAAAUGGAUCUUUAAAAAGAAGACGGACGUAGAUGCUAAUGUGACCAUCUACAAAGCUCGACUUGUCGCUAAGGGUUAUCGACAAGUUCAAGGGGUUGACUACGAUGAGACUUUCUCACCCGUAGCGAAGCUGAAGUCCGUCCGAAUCAUGUUAGCAAUUGCCGCAUACUAUGAUUAUGAGAUAUGGCAGAUGGACGUCAAAACGGCAUUCCUUAACGGCUUCCUCAAGGAAGAGUUGUAUAUGAUGCAGCCGGAAGGUUUUGUCGAUCCUAAGAAUGCUAACAAAGUAUGCAAGAUCCAACGCUCAAUCUAUGGGCUGGUGCAAGCAUCUCGGAGUUGGAACAUUCGCUUUGAUGAGAUGAUCAAAGCGUUUGGGUUCACACAGACUUAUGGAGAAGCCUGUGUUUACAAGAAAGUGAGUGGGAGCUCUGUAGCAUUUCUCAUAUUAUAUGUGGAUGACAUACUGUUGAUGGGAAAUGAUAUAGAAUUCUUGGAGAGUAUAAAGGCCUAUUUGAAUAAGUGUUUUUCAAUGAAAGCUUGGAGAAGCUGCUUAUAUAUUAGGCAUCAAGAUCUAUAGAGAUAGAUCAAGACGCCUCAUUGGUCUUUCACAGAGUACAUACCUUGACAAGAUAUUGAAGAAGUUCAAUAUGGAUCAGUCCAAGAAGGGGUUCUUGCCUGUAUUGCAAGGUGUGCAAUUGAGCACGGCUCAAUGCCCGACCACGGCAGAAGAUAUAGAAGAGAUGAGUGUUAUCCCCUAUGCCUCGGCCAUAGGGUCUAUUAUGUAUGCCAUGCUGUGUACCAGACCUGAUGUAAACCUUGCCGUAAGUUUGGUAGGAAGGUACCAAAGUAAUCCCGGCAAGGAACACUGGACGGCGGUCAAGAAUAUCCUGAAGUACCUGAAGAGGACUAAGGAUAUGUUUCUCGUUUAUGGAGGUGACGAAGAGCUCGUCGUAAAGGGUUACGUCGACGCUAGCUUCGACACAGAUCUGGAUGACUCGAAGUCACAGACCGGAUACGUGUAGAUAUUGAAUGGAGGAGCAGUAAGCUGGUGCAGUUGCAAGCAAAGCGUCGUGGCGGGAUCUACAUGUGAAGCGGAGUACAUGGCAGCCUCGGAGGCAGCACAGGAAGCAGUCUGGAUGAAGGAGUUCAUUACCGACCUAGGGGUGAUUCCCAAUGCGUCGAGCCCGAUGACUCUCUUCUGUGACAACACUAGAGCUAUUGCCCUUGCGAAGGAGCCCAGGUUUCACAGGAAGACCAGGCAUAUCAAGUGUCGCUUCAACUCCAUUCGUGAAAGUGUUCAAAUGGAGACAUAGAUAUUUGUAAAGUACAUACGGACCUGAAUGUAGCAGAUCCGUUGACUAAACCUCUCCCUAGGGCAAAACAUGAUCAACACCAGGACGCAAUGGGUGUUCGAUUCAUCACAAUGUAACUAGAUUAUUGACUCUAGUGCAAGUGGGAGACUGUUGGAGAUAUGCCCUAGAGGCAAUAAUAAAUGGUUAUUAUUAUAUUUCUUUGUUCAUGAUAAUAGUCUAUUGUUCAUGCUAUAAUUGUAUUGUCCGGAAAUCGUAAUACAUGUGUGAAUACAUAGACCACAACGUGUCCCUAGUAAGCCUCUAGUUGACUAGCUCGUUGAUCAACAGAUAGUCAUGGUUUCCUGACUAUGGACAUUGGAUGUCAUUGAUAACAGGAUCACAUCGUUAGGAGAAUGAUGUGAUGGACAAGACCCAAUCCUAAGCAUAGCAUAAAAGAUCGUGUAGUUUCGUUUGCUAGAGCUUUUCCAAUGUCAAGUAUCUUUUCCUUAGACCAUGAGAUCGUGCAACUCCCGGAUACCGUAGGAGUGCUUUGGGUGUGCCAAACGUCACAACGUAACUGGGUGACUAUAAAGGUGCACUACGGGUAUCUCCGAAAGUGACUGUUGGGUUGGCACGGAUCGAGACUGGGAUUUGUCACUCCGUGUGACGGAGAGGUAUCUCUGGGCCCACUCGGUAAUGCAUCAUCAUAAUGAGCUCAAUGUGACUAAGGCGUUAGUCACGGGAUCAUGCAUUGCGGUACGAGUAAAGAGACUUGCCGGUAACGAGAUUGAACAAGGUAUUGGGAUACCGACGAUCGAAUCUCGGGCAAGUAACAUACCGAUUGACAAAGGGAAUUGUAUACGGGAUUGAUUGAAUCCUCGACACCGUGGUUCAUCCGAUGAGAUCAUCGUGGAACAUGUGGGAGCCAACAUGGGUAUCCAGAUCCCGCUGUUGGUUAUUGACCGGAGAGGCGUCUCGGUCAUGUCUGCAUGUCUCCCGAACCCGUAGGGUCUACACACUUAAGGUUCAGUGACGCUAGGGUUGUAGAGAUAUAUGUAUGCGGAAACCCAAAAGUUGUUCGGAGUCCCGGAUGAGAUCCUGGACGUCACGAGAGGCUCCAGAAUGGUCCGGAGGUGAAGAAUUAUAUAUAGGAAGUCCAGUUUCGGCCACCGGGAAAGUUUCGGGGGUUACCGGUAUUGUACCGGGACCACCGGAAGGGUCCCGGGGGUCCAUCGGGUGGGGCCACCUAUCCCGGAGGGCCUCGUGGGCUGAAAGUGGAAGGGAACCAGCCCUUAGUGGGCUGGGCGCCCCCCUUGGGCCUCCCCCCAUGCGCCUAGGGUUGGGAACCCUAGGGGGAGUUCCCCCUUGCCUUGGGGGGCAAGGCAACCCCUUCCCCCCUUGUGGCCGCCGCCCCCCCUUGAGAUCCCAUCUCUUGGGGCCGGCCCCCCCCCCAGGGGGCCUAUAUAAAGGGGGGAGGGAGGGCAGCAAUACACAGCCUUGGGCGCCUCCCUCCUCCCCUGCAACACCUCCCUCUCUCGCAGAAGCUUGGCAAAGCCCUGCCGAGACCCGCUACAUCCACCACCACGCCGUCGUGCUGCUGGAUCUCCAUCAACCUCUCCUUCCCCCUUGUGGAUCAAGAAGGAGGAGACGUCGCUGCACCGUACGUGUGUUGAACGCGGAGGUGCCGUCCAUUCGGCACUCGGUCAUCGGUGAUUUGGAUCACGGCGAGUACGACUCCGUCAUCCACGUUCAUUGGAACGCUUCCGCUCGCGAUCUACAAGGGUAUGUAGAUGCACUCCUUUCCCCUCGUUGCUAGUAGACUCCAUAGAUGCAUCUUGGUGAGCGUAGGAAAAUUUUAAAUUAUGCUAUGAUUCCCAACAGUGGCAUCAUGAGCCAGGCCUAUGCGUAGUUACUAUGCACGAGUAGAACACAAAGCAGUUGUGGGCGUUGAGUUUGCCAAUUCUUCUUGCCGCUACUAGUCGUUUCUUGUUUCGGCGGCAUUGUAGGAUGAAGCGGCCCGGACCGACCUUACACGUACGCUUACGUGAGACUGGUUCCACCGACUGACAUGCACUAGUUGCAUAAGGUGGCUAACGGGUGUGUGUCUCUCCUACUUUAGUCGGAACGGAUUCGAUGAAAAGGGUCCUUAUGAAGGGUAAAUAGAAAUUGGCAAAUCACGUUGUGGUCAUACGUAGGUAAGAAAACGUUCUUGCUAGAAACCUACAAACCACGUAAAAAACUUGCAACAACAAUUAGAGGACGUCUAACUUGUUUUUGCAGCAAGUGCUAUGUGAUGUGAUAUGGCCAGAAGAUGUGAUGAAUGAUAUAUGUGAUGUAUGAGAUUGAUCAUAUUCUUGUAAUAGGAAUCACGACUUGCAUGUCGAUGAGUAUGACAACCGGCAGGAGCCAUAGGAGUUGUCUUUAUUAUUUUGCAUGACCUGCGUGUCAUUGAAUAACGCCAUGUAAAUUACUUUACUUUGUUGCUAAACGCGUUAGCCAUAGAAGUAGAAUUAAUCGUUUGCGUGACGACUUCAUGAAGACACAAUGAUGGAGAUCAUGGUGUCAUGCCGGUGACGAAGAUGAUCAUGGUGCCCCGAAGAUGGAGAUCAAAGGAGCAUGAUGAUAUUGGCCAUAUCAUGUCACUAUUUGAUUGCAUGUGAUGUUUAUCAUGUUUUUGCAUCUUAUUUGCUUAGAACGACGGUAGUAAGUAAGAUGAUCCCUUAUAAUAAUUUCAAGAAAGUGUUCGCCCUAACUGUGCACCGUUGCGAAGGUUCGUUGUUUCGAAGCACCACGUGAUGAUCGGGUGUGAUAGAUUCUAACGUUCGAAUACAACGGGUGUUGACGCGCCUAGCAUGUACAGACAUGGCCUCAGAACACACGCAAUACACUUAGGUUGACUUGACGAGCCUAGCAUGUACAGACAUGGCCUCGGAACACGGAGGACCGAAAGGUCGAGCAUGAGUCGUAUAGAAGAUACGAUCAACAUGGAGAUGUUCACCGAUCUUGACUAGUCCGUCUCACGUGAUGAUCGGACACGGCCUAGUUAAAGUCGGAUCAUGUAUCACUUAGAUGACUAGAGGGAUGUCUAUCUGAGUGGGAGUUCAUUAAAUAAUUUGAUUAGAUGAACUUAAUUAUCAUGAACUUAGUCUAAAAUCUUUACACUAUGUCUUGUAGAUCAAAUGGCCAACGUUGUCCUCAAUUUCAACGCGUUCCUAGAGAAAACCAAGCUGAAAGAUGAUGGCAGCAACUAUACGGACUGGGUCCGGAACCUGAGGCUCAUCCUCAUAGUAGCCAAGAAAGAUUAUGUCUUAGAAGCACCGCUAGGUGAAGCACCAAUCCCAGAGAACCAAGACGUUAUGAACGCUUGGCAAUCACGUGCCGAUGAUUACUCCCUCGUUCAGUGCGGCAUGCUUUACAGCCUAGAACCGGGUCUCCAAAAGCGUUUUGAGAAACAUGGAGCAUAUGAGAUGUUCGAGGAGCUGAAACUGGUUUUUCAAGCUCAUGCCCGGGUCAAGAGAUAUGAUGUCUCCGACAAGUUCUUCAGCUGUAAAAUGGAGGAAAAUAGUUCUGUUAGUGAGCACAUACUCAGAAUGUCUGGGUUGCACAACCGCUUGUCUCAGCUGGGAGUUAAUCUCCCGGAUGACGCGGUCAUUGACAGAAUCCUCCAGUCGCUUCCACCAAGCUACAAGAGCUUUGUGAUGAACUACAAUAUGCAGGGGAUGGAAAAGACCAUUCCCGAGGUAUAUUCAAUGCUGAAAUCAGCGGAAGGGGAGAUCAGAAAAGAACAUCAAGUGUUGAUGGUGAAUAAAACCACUAAGUUCAAGAAGGGCAAGGGUAAGAAGAACUUCAAGAAGGACGGCAAGGGAGUUGCCGCGCCCGGUAAACCAGUUACUGGGAAGAAGUCAAAGCAUGGACCCAAGCCCGAGACUGAGUGCUUUUAUUGCAAGGGAAGUGGUAACUGGAAGCGGAACUGCCCCAAAUACUUAGCGGACAAGAAGGCCGGCAACGCCAAAGGUAUAUGUGAUAUACAUGUAAUUGAUGUGUACCUUACCAGUACUCGUAGUAGCUCCUGGGUAUUUGAUACCGGUGCGGUUGCUCAUAUUUGUAACUCAAAACAGGAACUACGGAAUAAACGGAGACUGGCGAAGGAUGAGGUGACGAUGCGCGUCGGGAAUGGUUCCAAGGUCGAUGUGAUCGCCGUCGGCACGCUACCUCUGCAUCUACCUACGGGAUUAGUUUUAAACCUCAAUAAUUGUUAUUUAGUGCCAGCUUUGAGCAUGAACAUUGUAUCUGGAUCUCGUUUAAUUCGAGAUGGCUACUCAUUUAAAUCCGAGAAUAAUGGUUGUUCUGUUUAUUUGAGAAAUAUGUUUUAUGGUCAUGCCCCGCUGGUCAAUGAUUUAUUUUUGAUGAAUCUCGAACGUGAUGUUACACAUGUUCAUAGUGUGAAUACCAAAAUAUGUAAAGUUGAUAACGAUAGUCCCACAUACUUGUGGCACUGCCGCCUUGGUCACAUUGGUGUCAAGCGCAUGAAGAAGCUCCAUGCAGAUGGACUUUUGGAGUCUCUUGAUUACGAAUCAUUUGACACGUGCGAACCAUGCCUCAUGGGUAAGAUGACCAAGACUCCGUUCUCCGGAACAAUGGAGCGAGCAACCAACUUAUUGGAAAUCAUACAUACCGAUGUGUGCGGUCCAAUGAGUGUUGAGGUUCACGGAGGAUAUCGUUAUGUUCUCACUCUCACUGAUGAUUUAAGUAGAUACGGGUAUGUCUACCUAAUUAAACACAAGUCUGAAACCUUUGAAAAGUUCAAGGAAUUUCAGAGUGAAGUUGAGAAUCAACGUGACAGGAAAAUAAAAUUCUUACGAUCAGAUCGUGGUGGAGAAUAUUUAAGUCACGAGUUUGGUGCACACUUAAGGAAAUGUGGAAUAGUUUCACAACUCACGCCGCCUGGAACACCUCAGAGAAAUGGUGUGUCCGAACGUCGUAAUCGCACUCUAUUGGAUAUGGUGCGAUCUAUGAUGUCUCUUACCGAUUUACCGCUCUCAUUUUGGGGUUAUGCUUUAGAGACUGCCGCAUUCACUUUAAAUAGGGCACCGUCUAAAUCCGUUGAGACGACACCGUAUGAAUUAUGGUUUGGGAAGAAACCUAAGCUGUCGUUUCUAAAAGUUUGGGGAUGCGAUGCUUAUGUCAAGAAACUUCAACCUGAAAAGCUCAAACCCAAGUCGGAAAAAUGCGUCUUCAUAGGAUACCCUAAGGAAACUAUUGGGUAUACCUUCUACCUCAGAUCCGAGGGCAAGAUCUUCGUUGCCAAGAACGGGUCCUUUCUGGAGAAGGAGUUUCUCUCGAAAGAAUUGAGUGGGAGGAAAGUGGAACUUGAUGAGGUGAUAGUCACCCCUUCCGAACCGGAAAGUAGCGCAGCGCGGGAAAAUGUUCCUGUGGUGCCUACACCGACUGGGGAGGAAGUUAAUGAUGAUGAUCAUGAAGCUUCGGAUCAAGUUACUGAACUUCGUAGGUCCACAAGGACACGUUCCGCACCAGAGUGGUACGGCAACCCUGUCCUGGAAAUCAUGUUGUUAGACAACGGUGAACCUUCGAACUAUGAAGAAGCGAUGGCGGGCCCGGAUUCCGACAAAUGGCUAGAAGCCAUGAAAUCCGAGAUAGGAUCCAUGUAUGAAAACGAAGUAUGGACUUUGACUGACUUGCCCGAUGAGCGGCGAGCCAUAGAAAACAAAUGGAUCUUUAAAAAGAAGACGGACGCAGAUGCUAAUGUGACCAUCUACAAAGCUCGACUUGUCGCUAAGGGUUAUCGACAAGUUCAAGGGGUUGACUACGAUGAGACUUUCUCACCCGUAGCGAAGCUGAAGUCCGUCCGAAUCAUGUUAGCAAUUGCCGCAUACUAUGAUUAUGAGAUAUGGCAGAUGGACGUCAAAACGGCAUUCCUUAACGGCUUCCUCAAGGAAGAGUUGUAUAUGAUGCAGCCGGAAGGUUUUGUCGAUCCUAAGAAUGCUAACAAAGUAUGCAAGAUCCAACGCUCAAUCUAUGGGCUGGUGCAAGCAUCUCGGAGUUGGAACAUUCGCUUUGAUGAGAUGAUCAAAGCGUUUGGGUUCACACAGACUUAUGGAGAAGCCUGUGUUUACAAGAAAGUGAGUGGGAGCUCUGUAGCAUUUCUCAUAUUAUAUGUGGAUGACAUACUGUUGAUGGGAAAUGAUAUAGAAUUCUUGGAGAGUAUAAAGGCCUAUUUGAAUAAGUGUUUUUCAAUGAAAGCUUGGAGAAGCUGCUUAUAUAUUAGGCAUCAAGAUCUAUAGAGAUAGAUCAAGACGCCUCAUUGGUCUUUCACAGAGUACAUACCUUGACAAGAUAUUGAAGAAGUUCAAUAUGGAUCAGUCCAAGAAGGGGUUCUUGCCUGUAUUGCAAGGUGUGCAAUUGAGCACGGCUCAAUGCCCGACCACGGCAGAAGAUAUAGAAGAGAUGAGUGUUAUCCCGUAUGCCUCGGCCAUAGGGUCUAUUAUGUAUGCCAUGCUGUGUACCAGACCUGAUGUAAACCUUGCCGUAAGUUUGGUAGGAAGGUACCAAAGUAAUCCCGGCAAGGAACACUGGACGGCGGUCAAGAAUAUCCUGAAGUACCUGAAGAGGACUAAGGAUAUGUUUCUCGUUUAUGGAGGUGACGAAGAGCUCGUCGUAAAGGGUUACGUCGACGCUAGCUUCGACACAGAUCUGGAUGACUCGAAGUCACAGACCGGAUACGUGUAUAUAUUGAAUGGAGGAGCAGUAAGCUGGUGCAGUUGCAAGCAAAGCGUCGUGGCGGGAUCUACAUGUGAAGCGGAGUACAUGGCAGCCUCGGAGGCAGCACAGGAAGCAGUCUGGAUGAAGGAGUUCAUUACCGACCUAGGGGUGAUUCCCAAUGCGUCGAGCCCGAUGACUCUCUUCUGUGACAACACUGGAGCUAUUGCCCUUGCGAAGGAGCCCAGGUUUCACAGGAAGACCAGGCAUAUCAAGUGUCGCUUCAACUCCAUUCGUGAAAGUGUUCAAAAUGGAGACAUAGAUAUUUGUAAAGUACAUACGGACCUGAAUGUAGCAGAUCCGUUGACUAAACCUCUCCCUAGGGCAAAACAUGAUCAACACCAGGACGCAAUGGGUGUUCGAUUCAUCACAAUGUAACUAGAUUAUUGACUCUAGUGCAAGUGGGAGACUGUUGGAGAUAUGCCCUAGAGGCAAUAAUAAAUGGUUAUUAUUAUAUUUCUUUGUUCAUGAUAAUAGUCUAUUGUUCAUGCUAUAAUUGUAUUGUCCGGAAAUCGUAAUACAUGUGUGAAUACAUAGACCACAACGUGUCCCUAGUAAGCCUCUAGUUGACUAGCUCGUUGAUCAACAGAUAGUCAUGGUUUCCUGACUAUGGACAUUGGAUGUCAUUGAUAACAGGAUCACAUCGUUAGGAGAAUGAUGUGAUGGACAAGACCCAAUCCUAAGCAUAGCAUAAAAGAUCGUGUAGUUUCGUUUGCUAGAGCUUUUCCAAUGUCAAGUAUCUUUUCCUUAGACCAUGAGAUCGUGCAACUCCCGGAUACCGUAGGAGUGCUUUGGGUGUGCCAAACGUCACAACGUAACUGGGUGACUAUAAAGGUGCACUACGGGUAUCUCCGAAAGUGUCUGUUGGGUUGGCACGGAUCGAGACUGGGAUUUGUCACUCCGUGUGACGGAGAGGUAUCUCUGGGCCCACUCGGUAAUGCAUCAUCUUAAUGAGCUCAAUGUGACUAAGGCGUUAGUCACGGGAUCAUGCAUUGCGGUACGAGUAAAGAGACUUGCCGGUAACGAGAUUGAACAAGGUAUUGGGAUACCGACGAUCGAAUCUCGGGCAAGUAACAUACCGAUUGACAAAGGGAAUUGUAUACGGGAUUGAUUGAAUCCUCGACACCGUGGUUCAUCCGAUGAGAUCAUCGUGGAACAUGUGGGAGCCAACAUGGGUAUCCAGAUCCCGCUGUUGGUUAUUGACGGGAGAGGCGUCUCGGUCAUGUCUGCAUGUAUCCCGAACCCGUAGGGUCUACACACUUAAGGUUCAGUGACGCUAGGGUUGUAGAGAUAUAUGUAUGCGGAAACCCGAAAGUUGUUCGGAGUCCCGGAUGAGAUCCCGGACGUCACGAGAGGCUCCGGAAUGGUCCGGAGGUGAAGAAUUAUAUAUAGGAAGUCCAGUUUCGGCCACCGGGAAAGUUUCGGGGGUUACUGGUAUUGUACCGGGACCACCGGAAGGGUCCCGGGGGUCCACCGGGUGGGGCCACCUAUCCCGGAGGGCCCCGUGGGCUGAAAGUGGAAGGGAACCAGCCCUUAGUGGGCUGGGGCGCCCCCCUUGGGCCUCCCCCCAUGCGCCUAGGGUUGGGAACCCUAGGGGGAGUUCCCCCUUGCCUUGGGGGGCAAGGCAACCCCUUCCCCCCUUGUGGCCGCCGCCCCCCCUUGAGAUCCCAUCUCUUGGGACCGGCGCCCCCCCAGGAGGCCUAUAUAAAGGGGGGAGGGAGGGCAGCAAUACACAGCCUUGGGCGCCUCCCUCCUCCCCUGCAACACCUCUCUCUCUCUCGCAGAAGCUUGGCAAAGCCCUGCCGAGACCCGCUACAUCCACCACCACGCCGUCGUGCUGCUGGAUCUCCAUCAACCUCUCCUUCCCCCUUGCUGUAUCAAGAAGGAGGAGACGUCGCUGCACCGUACGUGUGUUGAACGUGGAGGUGCCGUCCGUUCGGCACUCGGUCAUUGGUGAUUUGGAUCACGGCGAGUACGACUCCGUCAUCCACGUUCAUUGGAACGCUUCCGCUCGCGAUCUACAAGGGUAUGUAGAUGCACUCCUUUCCCCUCGUUGCUAGUAGACUCCAUAGAUGCAUCUUGGUGAGCGUAGGAAAAUUUUAAAUUAUGCUACGAUUCCCAACAACAGACCCGUUGACUAAAAUUAUCUCACAAGCAAAACAAGAUCACACCUUAUUACUCUUUGGGUGUUAAUGACAUAGCGAUGUGAACUAGAUUACUGACUCUAGUAAACCUUUUGGGUGUUGGUCACAUGACGAUGUGAACUAUGGGUGUUAAUCACAUGGUGAUGUGAACUAUUGAUGUUAAAUCACAUGGCGAUGUGAACUAGAUUAUUGACUCUAGUGCAAGUGGGAGACUGAAGGAAAUAUUCCCUAGAGGCAAUAAUAAAGUUAUUAUUUAUUUCCUUAUAUCAUGAUAAAUGUUUAUUAUUCAUGCUAGAAUUGUAUUAACCGGAAACUUGAUACAUGUGUGAAUACAUAGACAAACAGAGUGUCACUAGUAUGCCUCUACUUGACUAGCUCGUUGAUCAAGGAUGGUUAUGUUUCCUAGCCAUAGACAUGAGUUGUCAUUUGAUUAACGGGAUCACAUCAUUAGGAGAAUGAUGUGAUUGACUUGACCCAUUCCGUUAGCUUAGCACUCAAUCGUUUAGUAUGUUGCUAUUGCUUUCUUCAUGACUUAUACAUGUUCCUAUGACUAUGAGAUUAUGCAACUCCCGUUUACCGGAGGAACACUUUGUGUGCUACCAAACGUCACAACGCAACUGGGUGAUUAUAAAGGUGCUCUACAGGUGUCUCCGAAGGUACUUGUUGGGUUGGCGUAUUUCGAGAUUAGGAUUUGUCACUCCGAUUUUCUGAGAGGUAUCUCUGGGCCCUCUCGGUAAUGCACAUCACUUAAGCCUUGCAAGCAUUGCAACUAAUGAGUUUGUUGCAACAUGAUGUAUUACAUAACGAGUAAAGAGACUUGUCGGUAACGAGAUUGAACUAGGUAUUGAGAUACCGACGAUCGAAUCUCGGGCAAGUAACAUACCGAUGACAAAGGGAACAACGUAUGUUGUUAUGCGGUCUAACCGAUAAAGAUCUUCGUAGAAUAUGUGGGAGCCAAUAUGAGCAUCCAGGUUCCGCUAUUGGUUAUUGACCGGAGACGUGUCUCGGUCAUGUCUACAUAGUUCUCGAACCCGUAGGGUCCGCACGCUUAACGUUUCGAUGACAGUUAUAUUAUGAGUUUAUAUGUUUUGAUGUACCGAAGGUUGUUCGGAGUCCCGGAUGUGAUCACGGACAUGACGAGGAGUCUCGAAAUGGUCGAGACAUAAAAAUUGAUAUAUUGGAAGCCUAUGUUUGGAUAUCGGAAGUGUUCCGGGUGAAAUCGGGAUUUUACCGGAGUACCGGGAGGUUACCGGAACCCCCCGGCAACAUAAUGGGCCUUAGUGGGCCUAGGUGGAAGAGAGGAGAGGCGGCUAGGGCUGGGCCGCGCGCCCCUCCCCCCUAGUCCGAAUAGGACAAGGAGAAGGGGGCGUCGCCCCCCCUUCCUUCUUCCCCCUCUCCUCUUUCCCCCUUCCCAAGUCCUAAUCCAACUAGGAAAAAGGGGGGAGUCCUACUCCCGGUGGGAGUAGGACUCCUCCUCGCGCGCCCCAAGGCUGGCCGCACCUCCCCCCUUUGAUCCUUUAUAUACGGGGUCAGGGGGGCACCCCAUAGACACAACAAUUGAUCUCUUGAUCUCUUAGCCGUGUGCGGUGCCCCCCUCCACCAUAAUACACCUCGAUAAUAUCGUAGCGCUGCUUAGGCGAAGCCCUGCGUCGGUAGAACAUCAUCAUCGUCACCACGCCGUCGUGCUGACGGAACUCUCCCUCAAAGCUCGGCUGGAUCGGAGUUUGAGGGACGUCAUCGAGCUGAACGUGUGCUGAACUCGGAGGUGCCGUACGUUCGGUACUUGGAUCGGUCGGAUCGUGAAGACGUACGACUACAUCAACCGCGUUGUCAUAACGCUUCCGCUUUCGGUCUACGAGGGUACGUGGACAACACUCUCCCCUCUCGUUGCUAUGCAUCCCCAUGAUCUUGCGUGUACGUAGGAAAUUUUUGAAAUUACUACGUUCCCCAACACAGGCUAACGAACGAACGUUCGCUGUCUGUCACUAACGGGUGAACGGCGUUCGUUCAAACGAACGAACGGACGAACGUCCGCAAAAUAAAUAAACCGACGGAAAAACCGAUCUAAUGAAUUAAACCGGAAAUUAAAAAAACGGAUCUAGAUCUAGGGUUUACCGAAAUAAACCGACGAAAGAAAAAAAAACGGCGGCGGCGGCGGCUAACUCCGGCGAACAGCGGGGCGGCUCCGGCGGCUUGCGCGACGGCGCAGCGACGCGCCGGCGGCGGCGGCAUGGCGCUCGAGGUGGCGGCGGUUAGGGUUUGGCGGCGUGGUGGGCUACGGCAGGGUGGGCUGGCGGGGUGGGCUGUGGGGCAGGGGGGCGGCUUAUAAAGCCUCGGGCGGUGGUAGAGUCCGGGUCGCCCACGGCCCGGUAGGUCGGUUGACCUUUUUUUUAAAAAAACGUGUCACAAAAAAAGAAGAAAAGAAAUACUAAACGGACUUCAAAAAUCCCGAAAUAAAUUUUCCCCGUCCUCUAAAAAUAUGCCGGGCAGAGUGAACAUUUAUUUGGGCCUAUAAUGCAAUUUUGAAAAAUGCGUAUUUUCCUAAUUCAAAUAAAAUUGCUAUAAAAUCAAAUAUUUGAUUUUAAUAUUUUUCCUCCAAUAUUUCAUUUAUUUUGGAGAAGUCAUAUUAUCUCCUCUCAUAUAUAUAUUUUGAUAUGAAAUAUUUUCAAAGGGAAAAUAAAUUAAAACCAACGUGAUCCUUGUUUCAAUAUUUGAUAAAAUUCAAAUAUGUAAAUCGUGAAAUCCCCAACUCUCUCCGAGGGUCCUUGAGUUGCUUAGAAUUUCGAGGAUCGCAAACGAAAAUGCAAUAAAAUAUGAUAUGCAUGAAUGACCUAUGUAUAACAUUCCAAAUUGAAAAUUUGGGAUGUUAGAGUCAUCAAGUCGGAUGUGUAUUGAACGCGGAGGUGCCGCGGCACUUGAUCGGGAGUUCGUGGACGGAUCGUGAUUGGAUCGCGAAGACGUUCAACUACAUCAACGCGUUUCUUAACGCUUUCGCUUACCAACCUACAAUGGUAUGUAAAUCCAAUCUCCCAUCUCGUAGAUGGUCAUCUCCUAGAUUGAUCUUGGUGAGUGUAGAAAUCUUUUUGUUUCUCAUGCAACGUUCCCCAUCACCGCACACACCCUCUACACGGAGCACGGCAAGAGCGGGCCGUUCUCAUCUGACGAAGACGAAGAGGACCCGAAGUCGACACCAAGAAGGUUCCGCCCGCGACCCCGGCCGGAUCUGGAACCGCCGUCAGCACCACCCUCAACAUCGCCAGAGGAACCGGUCGCCAUGGUUUCGCGCACAAGACAGGAAAGGGAGGGGAAUGAAAGCGAGGGAAAGUGAAGAGAGCGAGGCAGUGAGCUAAACAAGCGAUGGUAACGGCGUCUGGCCUCGGCUGUUUGCCCUGGCUACGUGGUUCCGGCGGGUGGGCCCAAAAUGUUAGAUUUUCACUUAGUCGCGGCUCACAACCCGUUUAGUGUAUUUUGUUAUUCACUUGCCACAGAAAUGAUGACCUUUUGUGAUUUUUGACAUAAACGAUAGUGUUACAGUACUCUAGCCAUAAAUGAGAUGGUUUUUAGCAAAUUUACUAGUAUUGCCCAUGCUAAAAGAUACUAGUGCAGUGGUGGCAGUGCUUCACGUGCAUGUUUCACUGGUCCAUGCGCUUUCGUCCUCGAAGGAGGUCUACACCGUAAUCUGAAGAUGAUUACGCUAAAGCGCUCUGAAAUACAACUAUUUAUCUCAAAGCUUUCAUGGAAGGGAGCGUUAACCGGGCACGAAAGCGCAGGUACAGGUGCAGUGUUGGUACACGCGUGCACCUGUCAGUAAUCGAUCGAUGCGCCUCCCGUCUCUGCCACGUUUUCCGCUUUCCCGGUUUCCCUGCCGUUGCUUUGCCCGGUUCUCGAUGUCGUGGGAUAAGGAUGGUGACUGUGUAGGGGCCCGGCCGGGGCCGGGAUAUGCCAUGGAAUCUACCCACCCUGCUUCUUCCUUCCGGCAAAAGAGACAACGACGAACGGCGGUGGCGGCCGCCGCUGGUUUCACGGUGCGACGGGGCCGGCCCGGCUCGCGCUUGCAGUACAAUAUGAGCUAGGAGCGAGUCGAGGCCUUCAAAUCUUCAAAUAUUGAUCUACGAACAAAUAAGAGGCCAAAUUUACCCAGUUGAGUUGAAGAUGCUUUAGAAGAUUAAAAAUACACCGGCUGUGAUUCUGUCUUGUGCAUAGUUCUCGCUGCCGGAGAAAUUAAUCUUCGUUCCACAUUGUUGUUGGUUCUCUCUCGGGUUUCACGUUGACAAACCUCUGUUAGAUUCUCUUCUUAGAUCACAUUUUACAUCAUUUUUCUUCCUAGAUCACAUUUUACACCAUUUUUGCUACCAAUGUCUCGCAGACGUUAGAUUCAUCGAUCGCGAGGAGAGGGGGAGCAUGUGCGGCCAUGCGCGAAUGUUUCUCCUCUUAGCGUGCAUGCACGUUGAAUCUUUCGAUAGAUGGCGAGUAAAAGAUAACAUCAGUUCGGUGACCCAGCCACAUUUUAAAUCGGAUUUAUAAACUAGAAAACACACAACACACCAACGACGGAUACAGAGCUGACGACAUGCAGUUCAUUGCACGGCUAUGAAACAUCUCUAGCCACACAUUCACCACCGCAACUACUAAUUGAACAGUAAAUCGACACGACACGACACGACAAUAGCUCGUUGGAGCAGAUGAUUCACUGACUAGCAGCUGCAAUACGACUAAGAUCACCGAGCUGCAAACUUAUUAAACACGCCCAGCAGCUGGAUCUAGGGGUUGUAGAAGACGAUCUUGAUCUCGUCGACGCCGUGGCACUUGCCGCCGGGGACGGAGUGCUCGAAGCAGUGGCCACCGCUGUUGCAGCCGGCGGUGGGGCAGUGGUCUUUCAGGGGGUGGCCGUGGGGGGUGAUGGAGACACGGAUGGGCAUGUGGGACUGGUCGGUGCUCACCUGGUACCACGCCCCGCCGUCGUACCCGAUGUGAAACUCCGUCACCACGGCGUCCUGCACCUUCACGCGCCCCGUCCACGAGCACACGUCGUACGACACGUGGGUGCCGUGGCGGAGCAGGUAGCCAGGGCUGUAGAGGAGCUUGCUGUUGGCCAGCGGCUCGAUGCCGAGGUAAAGGUCCUUGCCGCACAGGUUCUGCACCGUCACCUUGCGGCUCGGCUUGCAGUUUUGGGGAUCCUGACCGGCGGCGGACAUGGCAGUCGCUGCCAGCGCCACGGCGAGGAGGAGAGCCGCCAGGGGCUUGGGGAACGCCAUUGGCUGUUUGGAGUGUUACUCGCUGGUUUGGAGUGAAGAGGAGUGACUAAUGCCGGUGGUUUGAGUUGAGGUUUAGGGCUCACUGUGAAGGGUAUUUAUAGGCUCAGGGAAGGCUCCCACUCAAUCAAAAGAGGAAGAAAAAAACUCAGGGAAGGCUUGGCACGAAGUUUCGAGAUAUGAUAUUCAAGCUAACAUAUUUUAAAAAGGAUUUUAUAUCAUGGGAUGUAGGGAAUAUAUAGUUAUUCUACAUGUAAAUAAACACUAAAAAAAGAAAUAUCCCUUGAUUUUUGGGUGUAUAUAGGCCUCUUAUGAGGAAUUUUUAUAUAAUUAAAAAAAGUUAAAACAGUUUGAAAGUUUUUUACAAUAAUUUGACUUUUUUUGCACUAGUAUAUAAAUUUUCACGGAUAAAAAACCAGCAUCAACUUCAGGGCCAAAAGAAUACAAAAACUAUUUGCUAUUAUAAGUCACUAAUCACACUAUUUGAUCGAUUUUUGUCUUUUUUGAAAAGAAAUCAAUGAUUUUUUUCUUUCUAUGGGAUUUUUUACCAAUACAAUGGAAGGUCAAGUCUAUUUUAAAAAUAUUUUCAGAAUUUGUUAAUUUUUUAGUUACUAUUUUUUUUCUUAUAGAGUGUAUAUACGACCAUUGACCAAAAGUUCCCUUCCCUAAAAAAGUUAUUAAAUUGGUUGUGUUGGAGAGCGGGUGGAUAUGUCUUCGAUGGAUCUCGCGGAUUCUAUAGUAUUUGUCUUUGAUGGAUCUGUGUGGAUUCGGUCUUCAUUUCAUUUACGUUCAUGUGUCUAAAGAUUGGAUCAUUUCUAUCUACGCUUCUCUCGUUGGUGGAUGUUGUUGUUUUAGUGUACUAGUCUUUUGGAACUAGCAUGACGAGUCUCAGCUGUCUACUAUAAAAGCAUCUUCAAUAGAUGAUGCAGAUGUGUAAAUAACUGAUGUUUACAUCUACGCCGAGGCCCAAGAAUGUUGCUCCAAUACAUGAUGUAGAUGUAUGAACUUUUACAUCACCUCUUUCAAAUGAUGUAAAAUACAACAUUUAGAGAUGCAAAUUUACAUCUUCAACCGCCUCAGAUUUAAACAAAGAUGUAAAAUGGCCGGCAGCACGCGAACUCCAACCACCCUGAAAUUUCCCAUCCCCUCCCCCGAUAGGUUGCCUACCUCAAUCCGCCACCCUGUCGUCGGCCUGCCGCUGGCAGAUCCGGCCUUCCCACCCCCGCCGGUGCCGGAUCUGUCGCCGCUUCGCCGCCCAAUGCCACUAAAUGACCCCAAAUCGCUGUCGUUUCGCUGCUUCGCUACUGCCGCCCGCCGCACCAUUUGAACCUCGCCUGCCGCCCUACCGCUCGUCUCCAAAAUCACAAGUUAGACAAAAUCGAUACCUUAAUUAUGACAAAUCCUCACAUACCUACUGACAAAUCUUGAGUAAUUAUGACAAAUCCUCACAUACCUACUGAUAAAGGUGCUUCUGAUUUAAUCAUAUAUUACUUACCUUAUGUCCAUACUUGGUCCUAAUUUAUCCCUCGCAAAAGAAACAUAUCUGUUCCAAAAUCGGCAACAAGUUUCUUUAUUGGAAUUUUCUCUCGGACGGGAUAAUUAAUGGUGCAAUUCAACUAGGAAGGUUCAAUCAUUUUAGUAGCAGCAACGCCAUGCAAAUUAUUUGGAAGGUAACAUGUGUCAUCCCUUUUUUUAAGCACCAACCAUAGAACAAUCGUUUUACGGUAAUUUUCUAUUAAUAAAAAGUAAAGAUAUGUACAUAAGUGCAAGAGAGAAAAAAAUUGUCUACUAUCCUGUAUCCAACUCCAGUUUUCUCCAACAUGAAACUAUUAUAAUAAAUCUAUGAUUAAGUAACGCAUCAUUCUAGAUGAUCCUUAAUCCACCUCUGAAGGGAAUCUAGGUGCUUUGCUUUUAUUCUAUGAGGCAGCAGAGUCAAGUCUUGUUUUAGCCUGAAUUUCCAGCAAUUGACACUAGGCACUUCUUUCCUAAAAAUAUUUUCAUUUCUUUGGCACCAGGUGGACCAACACCCUUGGAUUAUAACUUACAUGGCAAUGUUAUGUGGUAGAAGUUGAUGUGCUAGAUGAAUGUCAUGAAUGGAAGAGAUUCCCAAAUUUUUUUCCUAGUAGUAUACUGUUCCAGCAAUCUUGCACAAAACCACAAUCCCAAAAAAGUUGUCUCAAAGUCUCUUCAGUCUUAUCAUUGCAGAGAACAUAUUCAUAGCACUCCAAGUGAAAGUUCUUCCUUUUAAGUAGGUUUCUGGUAUUGACUCUAUCAUGGAUUAACAGCCAGAAGAAAAUUCUAUGUCUGAGCCUGCGAGCAUUUUUUCAGAGCCAUUUAUAUAUUAUGUGUUUCUCUCGCUUUUGACAUAAAUUUUGGUACAUUGUGAUGGCUGAGAAUUUGUCUUUUUGUCAUGUGCUUGUUCACUUGUCAUUGUUCUGAACCUCAUUCUUAACUAGAACUUAAAUUUUGGUACAUUGUGAUGGCUGAGAAUUUAUAAGAAUCCCUCUAAUAACUAGAACUGGUCAUAUGCCUGUGUGGACAAUGGAGUUUGAAACAUAUUUGUAUGAUCUUGUUGUUGAAUCCAGUCUGAAGCAGGAAUUGUAUCAUUUAGGGCAUAUGAAUGUAACUCUGGGAAUUUAUCUUUGAGAGGUUGUUCAAGCCAACAGUCAUGCCAAAGCAGAACUCCCAUUACCCAUCUUGCAAACUGAGUGUUGUUUAUACUCUUGCAACAAUUUCAAGUGACAUUUCCACCAAGUAGAUCCUUCCAGCUUGAAUCCAGGAAGAGAGUCUGAAUAGUACUUCUCCCAGAUGAGUUUUACCCAGGGAAGAGGUUGCUUGUUGAAGAAUUUUCUAAUGUUCUUCAUUAGUAAAGCUUUGUUGUGGGUUGCAAAAAAUUCCAAGUCCCCCAUGUUCUUUGGGUCUACAGAUCAUGUCCCAAGCAAUCAGAGUUGGCCCAACAAUUAUUUGUUCACAUUUUCUCCAGAGAAAAGGUCUCAGAUACUUGUUAAUCUCAGUAAUUACUGAGGCUGGCAGUGGUAAUGUGCUCAUAAAGAAUAUUGGUAGUGCAUAGGAAACUGAUUGUAUCAAAAGCAAGCUUCCAUCAUAUGAGAGCAUGGUUGAACAUCCAGAAAACCUCCUUUCAAUUUGUUUUGACAAAUGGGGGGUGAAAUCCUCAAUUUUUAAUCUGUUAGCACUUAAGGAGAGCCCUAGGUAAGUGAAUGGAAAAUUUCCUUCUUUCCAGCCUAGAGUGCUGAGUAGCUGAUUGAAUAAAGCAUCCUCCACAUUGAUGGGUAUCAUGAUUGACUUGUGGAAAUUUAUAUUUAAACCAGUGUGAGCAGCAAAGUGUUUUAGAAGGUUAUCCACUUGUUGCAAUUGUCUUGGAAAAGCAGGAAGAAUUAGGAUAGUAUCAUCUGCAUAUUGGAUCACAAAAAUCUGAGUUUGAGUUGAGGGGAGUGGGUGUUGAAUGAGUCCAGCCACCAUUGCUUUAUUCAAUAUUGUUUGAGGAAAAUCAGCAGCAAUCACAAAGAUAAGUGGGGCAAGAGGAUCUCCUUGUCUUACGCACCUUUUACAAUGAAAUUGCUUACCAGGCACCCCAUUUAGCAUCACAGAUGAAUACCCUGAGCUGAAAAUCAUUUGGAUCCACUUGAUCCAUCUAUUCCCAAAUCCUCUAACUUUUAGAAUUUUCAAGAUUGUGUCAUGCUCUAUCAUAUCAAAAGCUUUCUCAAAGUCAAGAUUAAGCAAAACCAUUGGUAGUUUAGACUGUUGACAUUGAUGUUGAACUCAAAUGCCCAUGCCAAACAGUGUUGGAUGGACCUAUUUUUUGAGAAAACCAUACUGGUUGGUAUGAACCAGCUGAAGAAUAAUCUUCUGCAAUCUGUUUGCCAACAAUUUUGUAAUAAUUUUGAUAGAGCAGUUCGGGGGGGAUAUAGGUCUGAAGUCCCGAGGUUGUUGUGGGUUAUCCUUUUUGGGGAUAAGGGAAAUGUAUGGCCCAUUUAUAGGUUGCAAAUUGAUUUUCCCCAUGUAAAAGUCAUUGAUGAGCUCAUAAAAAUCUUCAACAAUAAUAGGCCAACAAGCUUUUAUAAAAGCUCCAUUAAAUCCAUCUGGUCUAGGUGCCUUGUCAGGGGGAGACUUUAUGACUUCAUCUUUUUCUUCUUUUGUGAAUGGGAUUUCAAGUUCUGCAAGACAAGGUCUGUCUGGAAAAAGCUCUUCCAUAUUGAAAAAGUUCUCUGUGGGGUUCGAUGUUCCCAUUCUAUAUUUGAAUGUCCUCCAUAGUAUAACUGCUUUGGCUUGGUGUUCAUUGUGUUCCACCAAGUUCUCGUCCAGGAGGGUUUUGAUGUGGUUGUUUCUAUACUUGAUAGUAGCUUUUGCCUGGAAGAAGUCAGUGUUUUCAUCCGCAAAUUUGAACCAACGAAUUGUAGCUCUCUGUUUCCAGUAUAUAUUUUGAUAUGAUAACAGAUUUCUCAAAUGUUGCUUUAUUAUAUUCCUUCCAUUCCAUUCUUCUAUGGUGAGCACUCUAUACUCUUCCAAGAUAUCAUACAGCAAAAUUAGCUGAUUUGAAUUUUUGAUAAGCAUACUCAGCUGAGAAAUGUUUUUAGACGUUCUAUAAGCCUCUUGAAUUUUGUUGUAAUUCUCUUUGCACUUGUGUGAGCCUAAACUUCUUGAUCCCAUAUGUUUUUAACAGUAUCUUGAAACCCUGGAAUCUUCAGCCAAAAGUUCUCAAAUCUGAAUAUGUUUGACUUGGGUAUACUUGUUCCAUUUUGCACAAUACAUAGGACAUGAUCCGAGAUAGGCUUAGCAAGACUGUAGGCCAUAGUAUUUGGGUAGUUGAGUGUCCAGGAUUCUAAAUAAAACACCAAUCUAACUUUUCUAAUACAGGUGCUUCUUGCAUGUUACUCCAGGUAAAAUUUCCGCCCUUAAGUGGAAUUUCCACCAAACCCAAUUACUUAUUGUAGCAUUAAAGUUCAUCAUGUCUUCAAUAUCACCACCAGGUCUGCUUCUGUUGCAAGGGUACCUAAUAUAGUUGAAAUCACCCAGAACUAGCCAAUCCCAGUUAGUGGGCAUGUCAACAUUCUCAAAUCACUCAAUAAAUUCAGCUCUCUUAUAAGCUUGACAUGGUCCAUAGAUAUUGGUCAAGAUCCAUUUGCUACCAUUAUAAUUGGAAGUGAAUUCAAUGGAAAGAGCAUACUGACUGUCAAAUUUUUUGCAUCCCAUGAAGAUCUUCUCAUUCAAAGCUACUAAUAGUCCACCACCAGCACCCACUCAUGGCACAAAUUCGAACUCGUUAAAUCUUUUUGAUAGAGAUUUCUUAAGAAAAACUGAGUCAAUUGUUUGUCUUUUGGUCUCUUGCACUCAAAUAAUGUCACAUUGGGAUUCUUCGAUUUUAUUUGAGAGGGCUAACCACUUACUUCUGUCCCCCGUUCCCCUGAUAUUCCAAUUUAGUAUUUUCCACUCUCUAUUCAUGAUAGAAUUUAUGUUUUAGUCUCUAAAUGACUACUUUGCAUAUCAAAACAUUUCUCCUCAUAGAAAUCAACCAGACUAUUACCAUCCACUUCAUACCAAAAUAUUCCCCAAUAUUACAGGUUUUUUCAAUAGCACAUGCAAGAAAUACAUGGAAACACUACAAAAUCUCAAUCCAUGUGUUAACGGAUUAAACCCGAUAAUCUGUCUAGCCAUUUGAGUAUCAGAUUAUGGAACAACACAGCAGCAUCUAGGCAAGAUGCCUGGGCAUUUAGCUGACCCAAACCGUCAUAUAUAUGUGAUUAAAAAAUAUACCCUAGAAAACUUCUUUACAAUAUGAAUUCAACGAUAUAAUUAUUAUUACAAACAAUUCAUAUUUAGUUUGUCUAAUUUAUGGUCAAAUUGACUUUAGGGAUACGUGUAUGCCUUAUUCAUCGGGACGUGGGAGUAGAAAUCGAGAAGUGAUUACAAACUGUAGUUUGUUUACCGGGAACGGACGGGGUAGGAAUUGGGAGGCGAUUACGAACUGUAAUUGUUUACUGUUAUCACGCCGUACUUGUCAGCUAAGAGCAUGUCCAACAACCGCGCUAUAUAAGCAUCGCGCUAGAAAUUUUGGGUUUUUAGCACGCGCGCAACCGCUACGGGAGCUCCAGCGGAGGCGCAAUAACCGCACGUGCGGCAUAAAGAGUUCAGCGCGCGGUCCGAAAUGCCAUCGUGCGUCGUUUAUUUGCUGCGCCUGCUUCCGCGCGCCGCACACUCGAGCGCCCGCUCGCGACUUCCACCUACCCCGAGCGCCGCCUCCCGCACCAUCCCAUUUGUUCCGGCGCUUCCCCGGCCUAUCCCCGCGCCGCCGCUGCAUCCUUCGUCUCCCUCCAGUUGCCACCGCCCCUCGCGCGCACCAUUCCUCCGACGAACAGUGUCCGGCCGCCCACUGCUGCUCGGCGCCCACAAGGUGUUUGACAAAACGCUUGCAAGGUAUGUAUUGCUUCAACUUCACAUUUUUUACAUGAAUUUGAUGCAUAGUUUUUAUAGUCUAGUUUAAAUUGAACAUUGUAGAUGAGUUCGUCAUAUGAUUCUUCGGAAGAAGAAUUUUAUAUUGAAGAGGAGGAUCUUGCAAUGAUCCUAGCUAUGCACAUCAAUAAAAAACCAAAGCACGGUGGUUGGGUUAUGGGUCGGCAGAAAAUUUGGAGGGAUAGGAUCGAUGCCCGCAAUAGAUUGAUAAGGCACUAUUUUGUGGAGAACCCCCACAUACCCCGAGUCGUAUUUCCGUCGCCGGUUUAGGAUGAGCACCGAGUUGUUAAGGCGCAUUGCAGAGAAACUAGCGAGUCAUGACCGGGGUUUUCAGCAAAGGAGGAAUGCCGCCGGAGAGCUCGGGCAUAGCACCUUUCAGAAGGUGACAGCCGCUUUGCGUAUGUUGGUAUACGGUAUUCCGGUUGAUCUAGUUGAUGACCACCUGGCCAUGGGUGAGAGUCAAGCCAUCAUGUGUGUCAACCGCUUCGCAGUCAGAAUUGUGCAAGUGUUUGGCCUGGAGUAUUUGAGAUCUCCCAAUGUUGAAGAAUGUGCACGGCUUUUGGAGAUGAACAAAGCUCGCGGGUUCCCAGGUAUGCUUGGCUCAAUAGACUGCAUGCAUUGGAGUUGGAAGAACUGUCCUAAGGCAUGGCAUGGGCAAUUCCACGGCUAAAAAAGGAUUCCACUAUAAUGCUUGAAGCGGUGGCCGAAAGAGACUUGGAUUUUUUGGAAUGCAUGGAUCUUUGAAUGACAUCAACGUUGUUAAUCGGUCACCACUGAUGAAUAAGAUUGCAAAUGAUGAAUUGCUACCGAUGCAGUUUGUAGCAAAUGCCCGUACAUACAACUAUGACUACUAUCUUGCGGAUGGUAUCUACUCAAAGUGGCAAAAAUUUGCGAAGCCGUUGAAAAAACCGGAAGGUAAGGAAAAUCUUGAUUUCCAUAAUGCUCAGGCGGCGGAUAGAAAAGAUGUGGAGAGAGCUUUUGUGAUUUUGCAAGCCAAAUUUGCUAUUGUGAGAGGCUGGCUAGAUUUUGGGAUCAAAAGAUGCUUUGGUACAUCAUGCACGCUUGUGUGAUCAUGCACAACAUGAUCAUCGAGAAUGAGCGUGGCCAAAAUUUAGACUACUCUCACUAUGAGCUCUUAGAACAUCCCGUGCGAGUGCGGUGGGGAGGGCUGCCAGGGUGGCCCAUUUUGUUGCCUCCUGUCAUGCUAUUCGAUGUGUCGAAACGCAUGAUGAUCUUCAAAAGGAUCUCAUCGAGGAGUGGUGGCAUGGAAUGGCCGACAAAGAGCAUCAUGAUUUGUGUGUUUAAUGCUGCAUGUUUGAUGUGGUAUUGUUGAACUAUUUGUUCUAUUGCAAGAUAAACUAUUUGUUUGAGUUGUAAUAAUAAAAUUGAACUAUUUAUUAUUGAUUUAUUUUGUCUGUGUUUGAUGUUCUUGGUUGUGUUUGAAGUGCAUAUGUUGUUUGUGCGAGAGCGAGAGCACAAUUUUAUUGCAGCGGCUGCUGGAGCGGCUCGUGGGCGCUAAACUUUUCAGCAGCCACUGGAGCAAGCAUUCCUUGCCGUGCAAAAACUCGUGGUCAGCGUGCUGUAAAUGAUUUUUUAGCGCAGCGCGCGUUGCGGCUGCUGGAGAUGCAAGUGUAACGUGUGAGAGCAUCUCCAGCCGCGCCCCCAACAAGGCCCCCAGGCAAUUUUUCAGCCGCCGGCACUGAAAAAUCGGCCCAGUCGCGCCCUCAAAGACCCAAUUUUCGCCGGCUCGUGCCGAAAUUGGCGCCGGCGGACCCAGGCCGAACCCGACGCGCUGGGGGGCGCUUGGGGGCGCCGGCUGAAUCGUUUUUGGCGCGAAAGUCGGCGGGCCCUCCUUGACAGCGACUCGGUUCUUCUCGCCACUUCGUCGUCCUCGUUGCCUCGGUUCCCGCGGUGAAUCAAUGCCAAAGCUGCCGCGCGCUGCUGCGGCGGUCAGCCUCCUCCAUUGAUGCCUCACGGACGGCGCAGUGAAGACCGGACGACGCGCGUCCCUCGCCCGCCACGCGUACGCGCGGUGCCUCCGCCUAUAUAAGCCGCCCCCAGUGCGCCGGUGACGCACAGACUCUCCACUGCCGACGCCCCGUUCCUCCCCCGUCCCUCCCUCUCCUCUCGCCAUUUCAGUUCAACCAUGGCCGAGCGCUUCCCAGGCGACGGCGCGGCGGCGAACGGCUUCGGCCGCCGCCACCUCCACGAGGACGAAGCUCGGCUCCUCUAUGAGGCCGAGUACCCGGUCCUGCCGGACAUGCGGGUGCCCGGGGCGUGGAGGAUUAGCGCCGGCGGGGUCCCGGUGCCACCACCGCCCACCGGAGCGGCGCGGCAUGCGGAGAUCGCGCGUAUCCGCGCCUCUCUGCCGCAGGCGGCGAGGGAAGGCCCAUGGUACGUCCCCGACAGCCCGCUGUGGGAGCCCUACUUCCGCCGCCGCCACGCCGAGCAGCUCGAGGCUACCAACGGCGUCGUGCCCUCUGGGAGGCUCAACUCCGAAGGCCGCCGCCGAUGGUGGGGCAUGCCCAGCCGCACGCUGGAGGCCGUCCUCGAGUACAUCGAGGGCGGCAACACGCCUAGGCUGGAGUACCCCGCUCCCCCGUCCUUCUCCCGUCGGCGUGGGAGCUCGUGGAUGCCGAGGCGCAUGGACCCGGGGGCGUCCUCCUCCUCGUCCAGCCGCUCGAUCGGCUCUCCCUGCCUCCGCCCCGUCAAGCCGGAAGCCCUAGGACACGCCGGUCAGCCACCGCACCCGCAGCUCCGGCGUCCGCAUCGCCGACUCCUCCCCCACCUCUGGCCGCCUCGUCCUCGUCAGGCCGAAGGCGGAGCCCGGCCUCCCCGCGGAGUACGAGGCCAUAGUCCGGCGCGGCUUCUCCGACGAGGAGGCCCUAAAGUGGGCGCGGGACGACUACCUCCGCGACGAGAUGGUCCGGCAGCGCCGAGCCCUGGAGGAGAUAGCCGCCCGCAAGCAUGGGCGCGAGGACGAGCACGGCGUGGUGAUCCUCGACAGCGACGAGGACGAGGACGCCCCCGGAUCGUCCAACCCGCCGCGCCAACCUGGGGAGGGGUGCAGCAGGGACGGCGGCCGCGGAGGAGGUGACGACGACGACAACGACGAC